AAAAAUUUGCAGAAAACAGAGCACCUGAACUCGAGAGUCUCCACUCAAUCGUAUCAAACCGAACAAACAAUAAUUUCCGAUCUCUAAGAAACAAGAGAAGAAUAACCACUGCUUACAACAAGCAAGCUGCAAAAUAGAGACCUAGAAAGAGGAAAUUAGGACUGUCUGCUAAAGUGAAGGAUGACCUGGAUUCGGCUUCGAUAAAGUCCGUCGCCGAGUUUGCUGGAGAAUUGAACUUAAAAAAGAAUCCAGGAAUUUAUGGUCCAUGCAGUUUCUAAAAGUUAUAACGCUGGAUCCCAUAAGAAGACCAGAUUCCCGAAUCCAACAAAAGGGAGCCCAAACUCAUUUUGGACUCAUGGAGAAAUAAAUGAGGCCCAUCUAUUAUUUCGGCCCAAAUAAGAACUUGCUGAAAAAACAGGAAACAAACUUAAAAUUAAAUCCAGUAUCUAUCUAUCAGAAAGAAAGCAGUCAACUCACCUCUUAAACAGGUAAUUCCACUCUCCCUCUCCCUCUCUUUCGAUUCGAUUUAUUUAUUAGCAUGAAUCUUUUUAGAUCUCAGUUACCGUUGACCAAUUUAUGCUAAACAAAUUUGGAUUCAAAGUUAAAUAAUUGGUGAAAUUUGAGUAGACUACUGAUAUUCAGUAAUUGUAUGCAAGUCUUGGAGAUUUGGAGUAUAGGUGGUAGGAGAUGGGAAGGAUCAAGCCUCAAGCUCUGCUGAAACAGAGCAAGAAGAAGAAAGCGCCGAGUCGAAUAAGCAUCGCUACUAUUCUCUUAUGCUGCUUCAUUUUUAUAUUGACUGUAUUUUUCUUGUAUUCUACGUAUAAAACUGGUCGUUAAGGUAUGUCAAGUUCAAAGUUUGAUGAUUUAUCCUUUGUGCUGUAAUAUUUGAUGAUGAUUUACAGUUUGGAUGCCCCCAACUAUUUGGAUUUGGAUCUGUAUUUUUCUGUACGCACGUUGGCUAAAAUAUUUUUUCAUUGUGGAAAUGCAAUGUGUUGAUUGUCAGGUUAGAUUGCGCAUCUUUCCUUUUCUUUUUUUCUGCUAUUAUGCUCGAUGUAGUUCUGUAAUUGAGCGGAUUCUUGCGUUGCAAGAAUUAAUACAGCAUCAUUUGGUUUAGGAAAUGUUUUAUGAUAAUUAUGUCUCUUUAUGGGGUUUUCCUUUUGAAGGUUGAAAUAUAGAGGGGCCAUUCUUGUGGCAUGCUAAAAUUUGUGGGCUUGCUACUGUAAUGGUGUCAAUCUGGGUCUUGAGAGCUGCCACUUCAUUUAAAAACGCGGAAAGGAUGUUUCUUAGCUGUCCCACAAAGAACCUUGUGGGAUCAUAAUUGGAUAAGGGCCUCUAAAUUUUACGAGGAGAGUUUAUAUUUAUAUUAGGUGUUUUUAUAUUUAAAAGUUCAUGAAAAAACUGAUUUGAGUUCUCAUUAAUUUUUUAUUUUGGGUUAAAUUCGGUACUUAGAGUGGUUUUUUAAAGUUAUGAAUAUAUUUAUCAUGUUUUUUAAAAUGUUUUAUAGGUGUUUUGAAUAAAACUAAGUUGAAAAACAGGUUUUGGAAUUUUUAUUAGUUAUUUCCAUAUUUUGAAGAUACUGCUGUGGGGGCAAUUGCUUUUGUAGAACCCAGAAACACAUGUAUUAUCUGUGUCCAUCUGUUGCGUUAUUGCUCAGGAACUUAUUUUGUUACUAAUUCAUGCAAGACCUUCAGUCGUAAGAGUUUGUUUGCCAGGAAAUUGAAGAGGUGGAUACAGAUGAGCACCAUCAACCUAAAUCUCAUGUAGAUGUGACCAUGAAGCAGAAAGUCUAAAAGCUGAUCUACAAAUCCGAAGCUUUUCCAUGUUGCUUUAGUCGUCCAUCCCACAUUGCAUUUUACCAGCCAAAUUUGCGACAAGGAGAGGUAGAGCAUUUAGGGUUCGUCCAUCCCGCAUCGCAUUUUACCAGCCAAACUUGCCAUGGGGACAGGCGGACAGCAGUGCAUUUAGGGACGAGUCAUCCCAUUAGAGGCGCAAUCAUGAACUGGUUCAAGCUAUUAAAUUAGCAUGUAUAGUGAGCCAGCUCUAUUCUAGUGAUUUUAUUUCUCACGCUGGAUAAUACACAAAUUUUACAAUGUAUAAAGAAUGGGAUGUAAUUUUACUUGGAACAAUUAAAGAGACUCUGAUUUUGCCGCAUUCGGUUCUUUAAUGUUAUUGAUAACAUGAUAGAUAAUGUAUGUAAACUCCACUCCAUUAAACUCAAAUAAAGUUGGAAUUUUUAUUGAUGCAUGGACGGUAGCAAGUCAAACAUCAACCACUGGAUUCAUGAGAUUCGUAGAUGAAAUUCACUUAUUUAAUGUCUAAAGAUAUCCAUCCAAUUGUUGUUAUUUUUUCGGUAAAUAAAUUCUUUAAGACUAUAUAUAUAUAUAAAUAAAAAGCUAAGGGAACACCGAGUGGACUAUAAUCACAUCAACUGGAUUUUGUUCCUGAAAUUAAAGAUUUCCUGUCAUUUGAAAUGCUUAGCAUAUGGUACCUUUAAUAUCAAAUUCAAAUUGUUACUCGUUGGAAGGGUCUAAAGUUUUUGUUUGCAUGUUCCAGACCUGGACCUAUUUAGGGCAGACCCUUUCAAGCAAGUUCUCAAGCUCAGGGUUUAUUUCAAUACCAUCUUCUUCCAACCUCUGCCGCAUCUCUGGGGCCAAUUUGCCAGCAGCUAUGUAAGUCUUUAGCAACAAAUCGUAAGCAUUGGAGUCAAGACGAUUGAUGUGCUUCAAAAUCUUGCAUAGUCUCUCAGCACCAUUAACAUCUUUCUCAUCUUCAAAAUAAGCAAAAAAUGCACUCACUGUUUUUGGCUCUGGUUGCCAUUCAAUCUCCUUGACUUCGGAAAAAGCAGCUUUCAUGUGCUUCAGAGCCAAAUCCAGUUGAUGGUUCUUCAAGAAGAAAACCAUGAACAUCUCUCGAGCAUUAAAGAACAAUCCUUCGGUCCUCUUAAGAGCAUCAUCAAAUAUUAAUGCAGCUUCUUCAUACAUGUCAUGCUCUAGGCAGGCUCUUAUAGCAACAUUUGCUAACCUCAUAUCAUAACUGUGGCAACUGGACUCCCACUCCUUAAAACACUUCAGUAGACCCUCAACAUCUUUUAACUUAGCAAGAGUGUGAAGCAUGGUAAGGUAACUAACAUUGGUCGUUGUGUGGAAGUUCGACUUUAGGGAAUUCCACACCCGAUUGACCUCACCUAGGUUAGAAGUGCCAGCAUAAAGGGUAAUCAGAAAAUGAUAAGCUUCACGGUAAUCACCUUGUCUGCGUUUUUUCUUAAUUUCACGUCCACGUUCUAUCUGUUCCUCUACCUUUUUGAGAGCCGAUUCAGCUUUGUCAAAAUGUCCAGCCUUGACAUAGAUUGUAGCAAGGUUAGUGUAUGUAGUCCAAGAAAAGUUUUUUUGACCAUCCAUUUUCAUCUCAUCUAGAACUCUCUCUACCCCCUCAAAAUCAUUUAAGCAUCCAUAGCUCUGCAUCCACAUGUUAUAAGUGAAGGUACAUGGAGAUACGCCUUUCUGCUUCAUCUCUUGUACUAUGGGGAGCACCUUCUCAGGUUGGUCCAAUCUCAAAUGUAGGCUAAUGAGAUUGUUAAAAGGCAAAGAAGUUAAAAGAAACUUCAUCUUGUCCAUUUUUUCAAAAAGAGUCAGUGCCUUUUCAGACAUAAGUUCCCUGCAGUAACAGCUCAGAAGCGCUCCAUGAGUUGAAUGAUUUUGCUCAGAUGGUGAGAGGCCGUCAAAAUAAUUCUCGGCUGCAGCAAUCCCUUCUUUCUUUGCUAUAAGAUCUAGGUAUACUGCAUGGGAAACGUUCAUUUUCCUCUUCUGCAUCCACUCCAUUACCUGCAAGACACAAAUCAAAGCGAUCCCAAUCAACUCAAAGAAUAGAGGAAACAAAGAAAGAAGACGCAUAGCUUACAAAACUAGAGCACAACUAUGAAACAAAAAUAAAGUAGCCAAAGCAACAUUUUUGCGCAAUUUGAGGAGUACAAAAAGACAGUACAUUGUUUUCAAAUCUCAAUUACAAGAAACAAGCAAUCAUGGUUGCCCAACCAAAACACUUGUCUCGUGGUGAUAUGGGGAUCUCUAGAAACAAAAUAUUCAUUCAUUCAUAGCUAUGGGCUAUAGCCAUAUUUGUUGCUGGAUUCAAUGACAUUCCAAGCACUCCCGUUACUUUUCCAAUCUGGGUUAUCAAUGCAGGCAUCGUUAUAUCAAUACACUCAAAUCUUAGUCUAAAAUUAGAUUGGAAAAAAAAUUAACAAAUAAGCUAGCAACCCUUAGCCUUAAAGGUGAAUCGAGGGCCCUGGGGAUGUGAAAAAAUCAAGAGAUUUGACAAAUGAAACAGAGACAGACAGAUGGACCUCAAUGGCAUAGUCGAACCUGCCGUACUUGCGGAGCUCUCUGAUGCAAGCAAGGAGAUCGACUUUGUUUGUUUUUCCGCCCUCCAACACGAAAUCAUUUAACGUCUUUGACACGCUCUCCCCGCUUGCCCCUAGUUCCGACAGCCUCUUGUACAGCCUCUUCCGUUUUUCCAGCACUACAGGCACCACCUCUGCCGCCGUGCACAGCUGCCGCACCACCCAUGAUCCCGUCCAUAACAGAUGACUUGGACUCUUCGUCAUGUACUUAGAUUCACUGUUAAUUAAAGCGUUCUCUCUCUCGAGAAUGGGGUUUUAGUAGGGUUUGUCAUUAGAAAUUUUAGGUGGUUUUAUUUUUAUCAUUUUUUGUGGGGGUAUUAAUUUUAUAUAUUUUUAAAUAAAUAAUAAAAUAUUAUUAGUUAUUUAUUAGCACCGUAAAAUUUCUGGGUUCGGUAUGGCUUUACUUCUAUUUUUUUUUCCUUCUUACACUAAAAAAAAAUCACCUUAGUUCUUAGAUUUAAUCAUUAAUGGCAUUUUUCGUCCUUAAUCAAUAUCACUUCUGUCAAUUUUAACCUAGUUCACAGCAAUUAUACCCUUGAACUUUUGGUAUUGGUGCAUAAAUUAGCUCUCCAUCAACCUCCAACGUAUAUUUGGUAUUAUGAUAUAGUAUAAUAUAAUUUAAUCAAUUGUGUAUAAUGUAACGCAUAAUAAAUAUUCUUAGUUGUGCAAUGGAGGCAUUUUACGAAGUUUCAUUUAAUUUCUUAAUUUUUUUCAAAAACAUUUUGUAGUCCAUAUAUUUUAUUUUUAUUAAUAAUUUGAUCUUUAUUUUAAAAUCCUUGCUCCUUGUAUUAUUCAAGAAUCAUAUUUUAGUUCUUAUGGUUUUUAAGACUUAUUUACAUGAGUUUAUUAUUAUUAUCCCGUUUCAAUUUCGUAGAGUUUUUUUUAGAUCUUUCAAGUUAAUAGAUCCUCUUUUAUUUUUGCUAUUGGUGUUACUAUUUGGCAAAAGAGGAAGAUUGGUAGUUAGGAUUUAGAUUUGUUUUGACUAUUGAUUUUAGUAUUUAAUAAAUUGAUAGAUAUGAGAUUGAAUUUGUUGAAUGAAUUUUCAACAGAUAUAAGCUAGGAAAAAAAGGGAAGUUGGAGGCAUUGCAAAUUACAACAAUGGCUAUGGAGGAGAAAGAUUAGAGUUCUUCAAAAAAAUUUUUUUUUUUUUUAUCUGUGAACUUGUGAAAUUCGUUUUUAAGUGUUGACCCACAAGUACUAUUUUACUCGUGAUUUGUCACGAGUUAGAUAUUUUUUUAAAUAAAAAAAUUAAAUAUAAAACCUUUUUAACAUAAUUAUUUUAUAAAAUAAAUUAAAAGGCUUAUGAUUAUUUCUAAUUAAAUAAAUUAAAAAUUAUUUGUGCUAAUAAUUAAAAAAAACUAAUUAACUUGUUGGAAGAGGGAGGGAGAGAUAGGCUAGUUACAACUUGACUAAAAGGUUACUUGUUUUUAGCCAACCUAGGUUUAGCGCUAGUUGAUGAUGAUGAGUAUCUAUAUUCGCACAUGAUAGCCCUUCAAAAUAUAUUGCAUAACUGACGUGAGUUGAGUUACGUAAUGAGUUUUGUUGUUGAAAAUAUAUUUUUUAAUAAGAGAAGAGACUCUUGUGUUAUAUAAAUGACUAAAGCUCUCGUCUCCUAGCUGAUAUGGAAUGAUGACAUCAUCAUAACCCCCAAGCGAGGAGCUUUGGUAGCGUUGUAUGAUUGACGUUUUCACAUACGACACUAAUGAUAAUGUGUGUUCACAUCUACACAUGAUAGGCCCUUCAAGAGAUAUUGUUACAAUUAAUGCGAGUUCAACCACUUAAUAAGUUUUGUUAUUGAAAAAACAUCUAUUAGGGGAGAGAGUAGACUCAUGUGCUAUAUAAGCAACUAAGACUCUCAUCUCCUACUUGAUGUGACAUAGUUGCAUCAUCAUAACCUUUAAGAUGAGGAGCUGGGGUAGCAUAGCAUGACUAUUAUUUUCAUAGACAGAGCCAAUAAUGAUGUGUAUUCACAUCCGCACAUGAUAGGCUCCUUAAGAGAUAUUAUCUUAGUUGACGUGAAUUCAAUCACAUAAUGAGUUUUGUCAUUAAAAGGCGUCUCCUGAGGAGAGAGAAGACCCUUGUGCUAUAUAAAUGACUAAAACUCUCGUCUUCAAACCGAUGUGAGAUUAUGACAUUAUCAUUAGCUCCUUAGUUAAAAGGCUUGUGUAGAAUAACAUGACUGAUAUUAUUCUCACAAAUAGCAUCAAUGAUGAUGUGUGUCUAUAUCCACACACAAUAAACUAACAUGAGCUAUAUCAUUGAAAAGUAACCUCUUAAUAAGAGAAAAGACUCCCGUAAAAUAAAUGCGACUAAAACUCUUAUCUUCAAUCAAUGUGAGAUGGUGACAUCACACCCUAACCAUGGCUGCUGCCCUAUACUCUUUUUAUAUGUAUUAUCAACAUCUUUUUGCACGAAAUCAUAACACGAAUUGGCGAUGAUUUGUUUGUUUCUUCUCACUUUGUGUCGUUACAAAAUGGUCAGCGAUCCUACAGUUUAUUCACUCAUCGAGUGGACUGUAUUUCUCCACUGAAAAAUUGCUUGUCAUCUGAAACGCUUGACAAAGGAUUUCUUCAAUGUCAAUCACCUGGCUGGAACUUUCCACCAAAAAAAAUUAGUCUAAACUGGUCUAGCUAAAUUCUAGCCAUUUGUUAAGGUAAAUGGUUACGAGCAUAUUUUAAGACAGACCUUUUUCCAGCAAGUUCUCAAGCUGACGUAUUGGGCGGAUAGGCUUGCUUAGGUUGAUUUUGGGCUUGUUUAUCAUGAUUAUUACCAAUUGGGCUCGACCAUUUUAGCUUAAGCUCGGUCUUCUUAUGGUUAAUCAAACCGUUCAGCUUGGCCUUCAAUGAUCAUGGCUGGCUAGAAUAAGUAAAAAAACUAAAAAAUCAAUUAAAUUAAAAAAAUAAAAAAAAAAUUAAUUGAAAAAACAGAACCGUAAAAAAAAAUUUAUUAAAAUAUUUAAAAAACUAACCAGUUCGAUUCGGUUUCAUAAGCUUGAAAUCGAAAAACUGAACCUAACCAAAAUUAAUAAAAAAUCCGAACCGAAAAAAAUCAAGUCAAACCGAAACCAAACCCAUUAGAAAUUACAAAAAAAACCCCAAAAACAAUAUAGUUUUUGAUUUUUAAUAAAAAAUAACCAAACAGAACCAAAACCGAACCGAAAACAAUCGGUUGGGUUUUGGUUUUUGUUCUAAAAUAACCGAACUAAAACCGGUCGGUUUGAACCGGUUUCGGUUUUGUUUUGCUUUUUUAAAUCGAUUUAGUUAUUUUUUUAGAUAAAAACUACACCGAACUAAAAAUAAUUAUCCAUAAUCAAGGCUGUCCUUAAAUUAUUUUUAUAGUUAUUUAUUCUGUAAUAUCAAACAGUGGCUCGUUUGUUGUCUUCAAUGUUAUUUUUGGUAAUGGCAGGUUAACAAUCAUUCUGUUGUUUUGAAAAUAAUAAAAUGAAUCACCAGAGGAGAGAGGUCAUGAGGUGGAGAAUGAUGGAGAUAGUUAAAAAUUAGAAUUAAAAUAAAAUGCACGAGGAGAUGGUAGGUGCGUGCAGAGUUUGGUGCAAGGUGACAUGAUAUCGCCCAUAAUACCAACAACGCUUUCACAGACAACAUGAUCUCCUGGUAAUGCAUGGGCGAUUGCGCAGGGUCCUCUGAACUGGCCCGCUAUCAUCGCAUACAACCGAAUCACAUAGUAUAUUUUACCCAAAAAGAGAGAGAGAAAAAACCUACUUAUUUACUCUCUCUUUUCCCUUGUAUUUUAGAAUAAUAGUAGUUUUUUUCUAAAAUAUUUUUAUUUAAAAAUAUAUUAAAAUAAUAUAUUAAAGUUUAUUUUUAAUAUUAAUAUAAAAAAUAAUUUUAAUAAAAAAAUUAUUUAAAUUCUGACUUAAAUUCUGUUUUGACAACAAUCCUAAAAGAGAGCUAAGUGUGCAUAUAAAUUAUAUUUAUUCUUAAAUAUUCAUUUAGAAAACGAAGAUUAUUAUCGGGAUUUCCCCUUCACAAGCAAUUUGAGCAACCACAUGAAGUGCCAAUUUUGAGAGUCCCAUUUGUGUACUUGAGCAACCCGUUGAAAGUCCCAAUUCCAUGCGUCUCGUUGGGUACCUUCCUAGCUUGAUUGCAUUGACUGGUUCACGCCGUAAUUAGUAAUAUUAAUAAUUAGAGCAUAUAGAAAUAGAAAUCCGGAGCCUACUAUAAAAAUAAAAAAUUAUAUUUUUAAUUUCUAGAAAUAUAUCUUAACUGAUCAAAUUUUAAAUUUAUUUUCUAAAAAUUAUUAUUUUAAAUAUCAUAAAUUUUAAAACUACUAAAAUUUAUAUAAUUAAUAACUUUAAAAUCUUAAAAUAUUAAUCAAGGUAAAAGUUAAUCCGAACAUUCACUUAUAUUCCUGAUUUGUUGGGCUGGUGUGUCGUUUGUCAUGUACUCAACGAACGUGUACAGAUCUUGCAUUGACAUGUGGUUUACAAAUAUAUUCUGCCAAAAUGCGGAGCCUCGCUUCCGAGCAUUCCCAAACCCGCAGACCGUCAUUGUCAAAGUCGCAAUUUGUUUUGGUGGUCAACGUGUUUAAUAUGAAAAAAAAUUAAAUUAUUUUUUUAUAUAAUUUUGAUUAAUUAAUAUAAAAAAUAAGAAAAAUACUAAAAAAAAAUUACACGCAAGGGCUUGUUUUGUUGGUGGUGACUGGUGAGAUUUAAAUACUCUCGAGAUUACUGGUAAUUGCAAUUGCCACGUGAUUAAUGACAGUGAAAGAGGUAGAUUAGCGGCAAGACUCUUGGAAGCAUCUGCUCCCUACGAGUCAAAACUAUCUUUAGCCCACUUGUAAUCGGGAAAUAAAAAAUAAAAUAGCAUAGCAUAAAACAAGUUUUUCACACGUACGUAAUCGAAAUCAAAGGUAUAAAUUAUGUGUUUAGUCCUCGUCCUGAAACCUAUUCUGGACCGGCAAGAAAAUCUCUCGAAAAAGGAAUUUUAUUAAAAAUUUAAAUAUAAUUGAAAUUUAAUCGAGAGGAGUUUGGAAAGCAUGGUGGAAGAAGCAUAUAUUUGAAACUUGAGUUUGGCAAUGUGCUAAGAAAGACAGUUAGAGCCUAUUUAUUUUUACUUAAUUUUUUUUAUAAUCUUGGAUUAUUUUAAUGUUUUAAUAUUAAAAAUAAAAUUUAAAAAAUAAAAAAUAUUUUAAUGUAUUUUCAAAUAAGAAUUACUUUAAAAAACAACAUUAUUAAAAUCUCAAAUAAAAAAUAAUUAUUUCUAUUACUUUUUAAAUGAAUAAUUGUUUCUUCCAUACGCAAUUCUUUCUAUAAAUGGGAGACAACCCUAAUUUAAUUGACGCUUAACUCAUCAAACCUUCACCUGAUUAUUCACUGAAACGGUGUGUUUGACAAUUCAAUUGAAAUCAAUUUUAACAUCAACAUGCCGUGUUUCAACUAUGAAAGUGGUGUUAUUCAAAAUAAACUUAGAUUUAAAAAAUCAUUAAAUUAAUAUUUUUUAUGUUAUUAAAUAAUUUUGAUAUAUUAAUAUUAAAAUUAUAAAAAAUAUUAAAUUUUAAUUUAAAAAAUAUUUACAAAAAACUUGCAUUAUAUUAUAUUAUCAAACACACAAACAAGUCCUAGAAAAUCUCAUUUAUACAUUUUUUUUUCUAGAUUUUCAAAUUUAAUUCCAACAAAUUUUGCCUUCCUGUGGUCAUAUCAUACUAGUCGUGAAACAAAUAUCCUCUUCUUUUUUAACCGUUAGCUUGUACUUUUCCGUCAGCGGCUCUCGUUGGACAUUAUGAAAAAGUCCGUGCGUGCCCUUCUCCACUUUUUACUUCACUCGACGGACACAGCAAAAGCAAAACGAAGACAAAAAAGAAAAAACGUCUCAAAUUUUAUAUAUAUAUAUAUAUAUAUAUAUAAAGGAAAAUAUCUAAAAAAAAAAAAAGCUUCUCCAGUACUGUGCUACUGAUUACAGAGUGAAAGAAAACAAAUCGGUAUUCUCCGCCAAAACAGUCAUAAAAAGUGUCUGCCGUUUCCCUUCCUUCUGAAGCCUCCAGUUCAAUCAUCUCUCCUCUUCGAGUUAACUCAUUAAUGGAGUGUUUUGCUCUGAGUUAUGAACGCCGAGUUCCAAUUCUUAUGAUAAUAUCUCCACCCUUGGAGCCUCCUUCUCUGUUUUUGCCAAAUGGUUUUUGCUCAUAGUGUUAUAUGCUUUCCGUCCGUCCGUUUGGGUUCUUUGCUCAAUUAGAGUGUGAUCUCGCCGUUUAUUUGCUUGCAAUCUCACAGAUCUGACGGGACGGGUGCUCUCAAUCAACCGCGUUGGUGAUGUCGGUGCUUGCAGUUUCAAAUACCACCGGUAAUUUUAAUUCUUUUUUUUCCCGAACAUUAAUGCUGCUUUUUUUGCUUUUGCUGAAUGAGGAAAUUUAGGAAAGAAAUUGCACCAGGUGAAUGUUAAAACCCUCAAGUACUGCAGUGGUUUUCUUUGAUAUUUUAGCUUACUCUGCAGAUUUUUGGUAUUUUUUGUUUUGUUUUGUUCCGUUAGGGGUUUUGGAUGCUUAACCAAAUUCUGAUAUUAUCGGCACAAUAUGUUAUCAUGUUUUACGAUGCUUUAUUUUGCAAUUGAAAUAAACAAUGAAAAGAAAGUUUCCAAUGCUCGAUCUCUUUAUAGAAGAUGUAAAAUUUCAUUUCUAUAAAGUAGGGUUACACUUUAUCCAGCGCCACUAUUUUUCCCCCCUUGCGUCCCUGGUUGUAACAAUAUUAGAUUUAAAAUUUUUAAUUUCUUUCUUUCUGUCUUUCUUUUGCUUCGUUUGUUGCAUUUGAGAUAUAACAGAGUAGAGCUUUGGGUUGUUUAUUCAUUUAUUUGUAAAAGUUAGCUGUCAGUGCUGAUCGUAGGUCAUUGGAAAAGAAGUAGAAUUCGAUUGAAAUUUUAAGGCGCUUAAAUUGCAUUUAUUCUGCUACCAGAGUUUCUGUUAUGUUUUCCUGAUCUUAUUAGAUUGGAACUUUGUACGCGCGUUGCAGGAUUAUCAAGAAGAGUCUGGUAUUUGUUUCUGCAGCUUUUCAUCAAUUCAUGUUAUGUAAUCUCCAUCAUCAAUGCUGAUUUAGCUGAUCAUCAGUUUGAAGGACCUAUCUUAUCUCCGUCUAGAGUGCCUUCGGAUGCACCAGCCAUUCCUGAUCUACCCCUCCCAGCCAAUCUACCAUUGUUACAUAAACCACGGGAAAAACAUUUCUCACCUCAUGGUGCACCAACAUUUGUGGUACCACCAGCCCAUCCUCCUAACUAUGGUCCACUGAUAACUUCUGGUCACCCCCCUACUAGUUCACGCUUGUCUAAACCAUCAAUGAAGAAGAAUGGAUUGGUGCCUCCCAGUGUUGGAUUGGUAGAUGUUGCUCCUACUCAGUCUGGUGAUGGCACAAAUCCUACUGGUUUAGCUCAGCCCCCAUUAUCACCUUCCGUCUCUGGUAAGACAGCUGUGGUUAAGUACCUUUCUUUUCUCCUCUUCUCCUUUUGUUUUCAUGCUUCAUUUGUAGGAAGAGCAAUUUAACCAUAGAAGAAAAAGUGUCCAAUGUUUUACUUCCUAUAUAAACUGUCUUAUACCAAGAGCUUGAUAAUGCACUGGAUUGCUUGCAUAACUUGUAGAUAAUUCCUACUAAAGAAAUCUGUGAUUGUGCUGUGACCAUAGACAUUGGCAUUAGAAUUGAUUUUUCGUUCUGCAGAUUGUUGUAAACCAGACAUGGUGCUGAAACGAGGAAGUCAUGAUUGCCACUGUGUGUAUCCAAUAAAGCUUGAUCUUCUCCUUUUGAAUGUCUCACAAAAUCCCAAUUGGAACAUGUUUCUAGAAGAACUAGCUUCCCAGCUUGGCAUGCGAGUUUCUCAAAUUGAGCUGAUAAACUUUUAUGUACUAAGCCUAUCCAGAUUAAAUAUUUCAAUGGAUAUCACUCCUCACACGGGAAUCAGUUUCUCUGCCAGUGAUGCAUCUGCCGUAAACUCUUCACUUACCUUUCAUAAGGUUCAUUUUGACUCCACUCUUGUGGGUGAUUAUAAACUCCUGAAUCUUACUUGGUUUGAACCUCCAACACCUUCACCAGGUAAAUUUUGACACAGCCUCCUCUGUUUCAAGGAUGCCAAUGUGUUUUUUAUAUGUAGUGCCAUGGUCUUGGCCAUCACAUAUAGCUUUUCUUCACUACAUUCAUCUUUGGCUUAUGUGUAUUUCUAUGUGUCAGUUGUAUGCUUCUUGAUAAAAUCUGUGUUACCAAAGAUAAAAGAGGUGAUUAUAUAAGUUUGGGCAAGAGGAAAUCACCUGGCUUACAGGGACAUGGCCCAUCAGAAUCCUACCAAAUUGCAAGCAGAGGCCACCUGAUUCACUGUACAAUACUAGCAUGUCUCUGAAAACAAUAUGGCUUUCUGUUUUCAAUCCAAAUAUAAGGGCACAUGGUUCAAAUUUAUACUGAUUUUAUUAUCAAAUCAAACACUCAGAAAAGUUGCUGCGUGUGUGUUGUGAUUUGAUGUAAAUAUAGCCUUCCUAGUCAAAAUGAUGGUAAAUAAAUAGAUAAUUGAACAAACUAACGAGAAAAACAAUUUAGCCAUAAGAGUUGACUAUUUUUAAAUUUCCACACAAAGAGGAUAGAGUCAUAGACAGACUUUGUUGGAUAGUGCCUUUUUUUGUUAACCUUCAAUUUGCUGUGUGAUUUCUGUCUCAUGUAAUGACUUUGUUUGGAUUUCAGAAUGUGCAAUUCUAACAUAUGUUUCUGCAAAUGGUGUGUUGUAGCCACUUUCUACUUUCAAUCCAGUAGAACAGCACAUGUGUUCAAAUUCAUACAAAUUUUGCAUUCAAAUCUGGCGGUGGAAAAAUCUGCUGCAUGUAGUAUAUGAUAUGAAUUGCUGCCUUUCCUGUCAAAAAGAAAGAAAAAUGCACUGUCAAGUGAUUAUGAUAAUGUUAGUAAAUAAUAAAUCAUUGAAUAAAGUAAAUAAACAAGACUUAAAAUUUAGCCUUCAAUUGAGGUUGUCACAGACUUCCUAUGAAAGCAUGAGAAAGAGAGGGGGGGGGGGGGGGGGCACUGUGUUGGCCUUCAGUUUGCUGUUUGAUAUUAUCUUGUAAAAUCUUUGUUUAGGUUCCAAAAUAUAUGGCAGUAAAUACCAUAGAGAUUCUAGUUCUCCAUUAUGUACAUUGAAGUUUCUUUACCUCUUACAUACAGCUCCUAUUGUUGCUUCAUCACCUAUGAAGGCACCGGUAUAUCAAUCUUCAACUUCAUCAGCAGUUGGUUCUUCAAAGAAAGGCAAACAUACAAAUUUGAUUCUUAUUCUGGGUAUUGGUGCUGGUAUUGUGAUUAUUGCCAUUGUAUCUAUGCUUAUAAUUUGUUCGUGUGCAUUCCGCAAAGGGAAGCCUAAAGCAUCCUCUAAAGAAACUGGUAUGUCUUAAUAUCAAGGACCACUAUUUACUGUCACUCCGAUUUAUUUUUGGAAUCUUCCAAAGUGGUAAUGUAUAAUGUCCACACCAAGGAAUUUGUGUCAUUAUCUCUGAUUAUCAUUGCUAGUAGUGAGUCACUCAUUGGGACCUGCUAGUAGUGAGUCACUCAUUGGGACCUAUAAGGUUUUCUCUUGAUUGCGAAAAGUUCCUCUCUCAAUUUGAUCUGUAUACGAGGAAUGCAUGUCAAAUGCAUGCUUCUCUGCAAAGGACUCUUUCUGUGUUGUAUGCAGCCUUAAGCCAUUAGGGGUUUAAUUUGUGCAUUCCAACCAUAUUACAUGGAUAGAUUUGGGAAUGUUAAAUAAUAACUAGACAAACUUUCAUGCUGUUUUUAAUGAAGUAUUAUAGAAAGCAAGGAGAGCCAUCUCAGAAGGGAAGUCAAGAAGAGAAGUUUCCUGCUAUCCAUCAAUUUCUUUACACACUUCACCUUACUGAAGAAGUGGGACCAAUCUAUUGUGCUUUUCAUAGAAGCAUUUAAGAAAAUCUAGGGAACACUGCUCUCAUUCAUUAUGAUAAUGCUCGCAUCUGACUUUUUUAAGUUUUCUUUUGGUUCUUUGUUCAUCUAUUCUUUCAUGUCAUCUGGCUUGUUGAUUUCAAUUUUUUUUUCUCCAAAAUCAGUAAAGCCAAGUACCAUAGAUCCAGCUCCAGCUCCAGCAGCAGGGUCUCUUCCACAUCCUUCAAGUACACGGUUUCUAGCCUAUGAAGAACUUAAAGUAGCAACAAACAACUUUGAACCUGCAAGCAUACUUGGAGAGGGUGGGUUUGGUAGAGUUUUCAAAGGUGUCUUAAGUGAUGGCACAGCUGUAGCAAUUAAGAGGCUUACUAAUGGAGGGCAACAAGGGGAUAAAGAAUUUUUGGUGGAGGUUGAGAUGCUUAGCAGGCUGCAUCACCGUAAUCUUGUCAAACUUGUGGGCUACUAUAGCAGUCGUGACUCUUCACAAAACCUACUGUGCUAUGAGCUUGUUCCAAAUGGAAGCCUGGAGGCCUGGCUCCAUGGUAAUUUGAUAUUUUCUUUCCAAUUUCAUAUCUUUCCAGCAUUUUAGUGUUUGAUAUGAUAUUUUCUUUCUAAUUUGGUUGCAUGGAGAUGGAAUAUAUGUUAAAAAAAAUUAGGCAUUAUUCAUUACCUAUUCUGAACAUGUCUGGCUCUUUAGUUGAAUGUACUGGUUUCAACCUGGGUUAACACUAGUGUGCGAGAGCAAACAUCAAGUCCAAGCAGUGAAGUUUUGCACCUGGCUUGUUUUCUUUCUAAUGUUGGAUGUAAAAAUGACUUCACAGCAUGAGCACCCACGAGAUAUGAAAUUUAAUACACUCUGGAUUGUUCCCUCAUCUGGUUCCUUUUUCUCUAGAAUGUUAACCAUCAAUAGACCUUUCUUUUUUGGACCCUAAAUUGGCCCCGUCAGCUAUGCUUCUAAGAAAUUGAAAUUGAUUUUCUUUAGUGUGGUCUGUUUAUUAAAUUGAACCAAAUUUAUUAGUUUGUUGAAUAUCAAGUGGACGAAUGAUAACAGGUAUAAACAUUAACAGUUAAUGAUUGUUUUACUGUGCUUGCAUCUGAUUUCUGAGAAUCUAACAAGUUGGGCUGGUACACACAUACCUGAAUCCUUGCUACAGUAGUAUUGCAUUAUAUUAUUCAAAAUAUUAAUGCUGCUCCAAACAUGCAUGCCUCAGGUCCUCUGGGUGUAAACUGUCCUCUGGAUUGGGAUACCAGAAUGAAGAUUGCACUUGAUGCUGCAAGAGGACUUGCAUACCUACAUGAGGAUUCACAACCCUGUGUGAUCCACAGAGAUUUCAAGGCGUCCAAUAUAUUGCUCGAGAACAAUUUUCAGGCUAAAGUUGCUGAUUUUGGACUUGCCAAACAGGCGCCUGAAGGCAGAGCAAAUUAUCUGUCUACUCGUGUCAUGGGAACAUUUGGGUUUGUCUGAGUCUCUCUCUUCUUAAUUGUAUGUUUUCCCAAUUUGAUGGGCGUUGAGAUGAAAUGGUGUUGAUUUAUAGGUAUGUAGCCCCUGAGUAUGCUAUGACCGGACAUCUACUAGUAAAGAGUGAUGUUUAUAGCUAUGGAGUUGUCCUCCUUGAGUUGCUGACUGGAAAGAAGCCUGUUGAUAUGGCACAGCCAUCCGGUCAAGAGAACCUUGUCACUUGGGUUAGUAGGAUACUGACCAUUUCAACCCAUCAUUAGAAUUCCUGGUUUCAUAUCUUGAUAUUUGGCAAUAUAAAAACAUCUAACAGUUAUUAAAAUUCUGGAGAGGUUAACAAAUUCUCUUUAAUUGCUUUCAGGCCAGGCCCAUUCUGAGAGACAAGGAUCGGUUAGAAGAGCUUGUUGAUCCAAGGCUUGGAGGAAAAUAUCCGAAGGAGGAUUUUGUACGAGUUUGCACAAUUGCAGCAGCUUGUGUGGCCCCUGAGGCAAGCCAGCGACCAACUAUGGGUGAAGUGGUACAGUCUCUUAAAAUGGUGCAGCGUGUAAUGGAAUAUCAAGAUUCCAUGUUAGCCUCCAAUGCCCGGGCCAACCUGAGACAGUCAUCUACUACCUUUGAAUCUGAUGGGACAUCUUCAAUGUUCUCAUCUGGUCCGUACUCUGGUCUAAGUGCCUUUGAUAACGACAACAUCUCUCGGACAGCAGUUUUCUCAGAAGAUCUUCAUGAAGGACGAUGAAUAUCUCAAAGGUAGUCAACUUCGAUACUUUACUUAGUUUGAAGCUUUCUUUUGAUGUCCCAAUACAACAAUGUGAGGAAUUUGAAAAGUUCAAAGUGGGGGAAUAUUUAUUAGGAUUUCUUUUUGGGAUAGAUUUUGUAGUUGUGAUUGGUGGGGAGUUGGGGAGUGGCUGUUUUUUGUGUUGCCUUGUGGAUGACCACUGUUAAGUUCUCCUGAAAGCAGUGUGGCUGUUCUCUACAUGGCUGAUGAAAUUUUGUAUAUAUGCCUCGUAGCUUGUUAUAUUGGAUGGCCUUCAUGGGUUCUUAUUUAAUCUUCACCCGUUCUUUUACUAGUUAUUUAUAACUUACGCAUGUAGUUUCACAAACCCAUUUAUGACUUAGUCCUUCUGUCAAUGCCAUGUUCUUUUCAGAUUUAUUGUGAUUUUUUUUUUCAAGAUAUUGAAAAAAGAAGAAAAUUAAACGAGAUGGAAAAUUUUGCUGAGCAAAAAGGUAUUUUUUGGAGCAAAAACCAAGUAAAUUGAGAUGGUAAGUGCUAGUUGAAGAACUAUUCUUUUAGCCUGCAAAAUUUAAAGUUGCUUCUCUUGUAAACAUUUGGAAACUGAUUCAGAUGUUGAAUGAAACAAUACAUUACAAAUACGUAUACAGACUUGCACGAAGAAAAUUAGGAUUGAUACGCAUAUAUCAUAGUGUCAAGCAAAUCACAGAUACACUUGAUUGUAGUUCAUGAACUGGUUAAUGUUAACAAGUCAUUUUGUUAUCUAAAUCCACCCAAAACCAAGAGGACGAUAGCUGCAAGGUUUUGCAUUGGUUAUGGAAAAUAAAUAGGAACCCUAAUUUCUGAGUUGCCUGGACAUGGCAAGGAAGAACAAGACAGCAUUUAGAGGGGGGAAAAAAGAGAGAAGGAUGAGGAUGGAUAAAGCUCUGCCCUUGACGCUUUACACCUUCGUGAACCUAUUCCGGGAAAAACCAAGUUUGGAUGCCGUAACUCACCACUAAUAUAUUAUACAUACAAAAAUAGAUACACCAAACUUACAGCAUAGGCAAAAUUUGCUUGGUAAUCCUAUUUUCUUGGAUAACCCAGUCAACCCCUGUAAAGAUCCCAUAAAUAUAUACUUGCCUGUCCUCAUUUUGUCUCUCCAUUUCUACUCUUUUCCAAGCGAAGAUAAUGGAGCUUAACAAGUUCAUCCUUCUCCUCCUGUUUUCCUCUCCUCUUCUCUCAUUCGUUGCCGAGGCCAUUUGUGUCCCUCGUAACGUCAGCAAACAUGAGGCUACAGGGCCUGCCUUCGUCCUAGGACCGGCCUUGUCUUUCCCAUCUUCACCGCCCGUUCAGGCCCCAUUACCCCCGACAGAUCCCCCCCCCUCCCCACAAGCUUCCUCCCCAUCACCACCUGUUUCUCCAACAAAAUCAAUAUCGAUAUUGCCAUCACCAGCCAGCAAUUAUGCACUGACGAAAAUAUGUGGCUUGACCGAUUACCCAGCAGAAUGUAUUGCCACCAUUGCUCCUUACCUAACAGGAAGAACCGAUCCCAUUUCAGUCCUUAAAAUGGGAAUGCAAGCUCUCCACAAAAGUUUUGAGGAAGCCACUGCCGUUGCCACAAAACUAAACAAGGAUCCCUCUUCAUCAGCCGUGGUUAAGGACUCCCUGGACACAUGCCUAGAGUCUUUUGAUAGCGGAAUGUCUGACCUCAAUGAUGCUUUGAUUGCAAUUUCCUCCCACGACAUUGGCAAACUGAGUACAAUGCUUAGUGCCACCAUAACAUACCCUGACACAUGUGAGGAAGCGUUUGCUGAGCGACCAGGACUCGAUUCGCCAAUGAAGGCGAUGGAUCGGAAGUUGACUACGUUGGCUAGCAUCAACCUGGCAAUUUCAGCAUCUCUCCACUGGAGUUAAAUUAACUGUUUAUUGCUGUGUCUCUUACAGCGUUCUUUUGUAUAGAGGAAUGUUAUAUUAGCAUCGCGAGGAAGCAUUAAGAUGCUUUCAGCAUUUCAAAAUAAUCCUCUUUGACUGAAAAUAGUAUUCCUUUGCUCUAUAUUCUUUGCUGGUCUUAUGCAUAACAUUUCAUCAUUCAUACCGAGAACAAAAGCAAUAAUUACAGUUCAUCAAGAAGGCAACACUUAGAUUAGCUAAAAGGGGUGGCUUAUCAAGAAGGCAACAUAAAAUCCUAGCCACCCUGAAUUUAUUAUGCUACCUUCCAAUAUAAAACAGCAAGAAACCCAUUUCCAGGAAGCAAUUCAACAAGCGAUUUAGACCGAAACCCAGAAAGAAGGCACAGAGACUGUAACUAGUUCAUCAUAAUCAAGCUACAGCUCAAAUCAGGAAAAAAAUAUAGAUUUCACGUUCUGAUCAUAUCAUUAAUAAUACCUGAAUCCUAUUCCAUAACCACCUAAGAAGCUUUUGGAUUCAUUGCUCUUAAUUUAAUCAGCAAGGAGGUGGUCUGGCAUUUUUUUUUAAUGAAUGUGAUCAUAGUUUCUUCGAUGAUUGUAAGAAAUUCGCAAAAGCCACAGAGGAAAUGGCCAUAAAGCAAGAUGAACAUAAAUCACACACGUCGAAGUAGAGAUUUUUUUUAUUCGCACAAAACCAUUCCCUCUUAGCCCCCAUUUAAAAAUGAGGCUUAAAGAAGCUGGGCAAAAAUUUAAUUUAAUUUUUUGUUUUAUGUAUUAUAUUAAAAAUAAUUUUUUUUUAAAAAAAUAUUAUUUUAAUAUAUUAAAAAAAUAUAUUUUAAAAAAUAACCGCUACCACAUUUUCAAAUUUUUUUUAUAUUAUUUUCUUCAAUCUUAUUUUUUAAAAUUAGUUUCAUUCAUUUUAAAAAAUUAUUUAAACCUAGAAACUGCUAAAUAAAAUUUAAAAUUUAAAAUAAAAUUUAUAUUAUUCUUUUAUCCUUUUCAAGUUACUAAACACUUAGAAAUUAGGGGAUGAGGAUUUUAUUUACAUUUCCAUCGUCCACCACUCAUUCCGUAUAAACAAACGGCCCAUUGCUUCCCUUACCAAAUAUUUUCUGAGACAAACGAAAAGAAAAGGAAAAGAAUUGGCGAAAAGAUCAUUUCAUAAAGUCAGUCAAGCAAAUCAAGGAAACACCCUGCUUGAUGCUUUUCAUGACACGGUUCAUGUCAACAACUUACCUCUCCAAAAAUCGUAGCCACCAGAUAUCGCUAUCUUUUUAUCUGAAAUCUAACCACAAUCUAAGUGGGGAUAGCUGCAAGGUUUAUGACUUUGUCCACAUUAAGAAAAUUAGAGGGCCAAUUUAAGGCUUGCCAGGACACAGCGAUUAGGAAGACCAAGAAAUUAUUUUAGAGGCAAGCAAAAAUAAGGAAAAAGCUCUGCUGUCAUCCUAAAUGCUCUUCACUCUGUGUAACUAUUCCGGGAAAAAUCAACCUGGAAAUCCUUGACGUGAUGACUGUUGAAUGCCUAAAUGCAAAAAAUAGUUGAGCAGACAGCCGGACUUCAAGCAUGGCAAAAUUUGCAUGGUUUUCCUGUUUUCUUGGGUAACCCAUUCACCACUCAGAAGAUCCCAUAAAUAUACUUAAAACGGUUCUCAAUGCCAAGAUCAGCUGCCUCAUCGUUCUCUCUCUCCAUUUCUUCUCUCCUCCAGAAGAAGAAAAUGGAACUCAACAAAUCCAUCCUCCUCCUCCUCGUUCCCUCCCUUCUCUCAUUCUUUUCUGAGGUCAUUUGCGACCCUUGCAAUGCCGGCAAUAGUGCUAGUCCUGAUUGCCUAGGACCGGCCUUGUCUUUCGCAUCUUCAGAACCUAUUGAAUCCCCAUUGCAAUCGCCAGUUUCUUCAACAGAGACAGAAUCCUCCCCAUUGCCGUCUCCGGUUUCUUCCCCAUUGCCAUCGCCAGUUUCUUCAACAGAGACAGAAUCCUCCCCAUUGCCGUCUCCGGUUUCUUCCCCACUGCCAUCGCCAGCUUCUUCAACAGAGACAGAAUCCUCCCCAUUGCCGUCUCCGGUUUCUUCCCCAUUGCCAUCGCCAGUUUCUUCAACAGAGACAGAAUCCUCCCCAUUGCCGUCUCCGGUUUCUUCCCCACUGCCAUCGCCAGCUUCUUCAACAGAGACAGAAUCCUCCCCAUUGCCGUCUCCGGUUUCUUCCCCACUGCCACUUUCCUCCUCAUCGCCAUCUCCAGCUUCUUCAACAGAGACAGAAUCCUCCCCAUCACCGCCUGAUUCUCCAACAAAUGCACAACCCUUAUUGCCAUAUUCACCUUCCGUUCACAAUGCUGUUUUGAAGAAAAUAUGCGGUGCGACUAGAUUCCAGGCAGAGUGUCUUGCCACCAUUGCUCCUUAUCAAACUGGCGCAGCCGAUCCCAUUUCAGUAAUUGAAAUGGGGAUACAAGCUCUCCACAAAGAUUUUGAGGAAGCCAUAGCCACGGUCACGAAACUAAGCAAGGAUACCUCUUUAUCAGCCACGAUGAGGGACUCUCUUGACAUAUGCGUAGAGUCUUAUGAAGCUGGAAUCACUGACCUCAAUGAUGCUUUGACUGCAAUUUCCACUCACGACACGGACAGACUGACUCAAAUGCUUGGUGCCAUAGCUUCAUAUCCUGAAACGUGUCAGGACGCCUUUCUUGAGCAAGGUGAAGAAUCGCCAUUGAAGGACGUUGAUCAGAAAUUGGAUAUGCUGGCUAGCAUCACCGUGGACAUAACUAUAUUGCUCCCAGGAGUCAAAAUAAUAGAGUAAUCCCAUGUUAUGGCAAGGAGUCCUGUCAUGCAUGUUUUGCACAGAGGAAUCGCUAGGAAGCAUUAACAUUUGGACGUUUUACCAGUGUUUCAGAAUGUCAUCUUUGAUUGAAAACUUAUAAUCCAUUGCCCUCUCUGAUCUAUCUAUCCAUCUAGUGCUCUUAUGCAUAAAUUUCACUGUUCAUACUGAUACCCGGACCUUGAAGCAUUAUCUUUGACCAUCCAACUUAAAAUAAAUUAUUUUAGCUCUCUUCAAUGAAGCUUCUAUAUAGCAUUAUAGCUGGACACAAGCAACAGUUUAUUGAUAACUAAUUAAUUUGAUUUUUCACUUAGUUUUAGCUUGUGUUUAAUUUGGCUGCCGCUAAAUUUUCCAAUAUAAACGUGUUCCUUAAUCAUUUAAAAACAUCAGUAAACACAAUUAAGGAUACUUUUUUUUUUUUAUGAACCAUAAGACAAUGAGUGUACUAAGAGUACAUUCUGUGGCUGUAAACUUAGGUAACAGAGAUGAAGUCUUCUAUAUGCAGCAAAGUACCAACAAUAAGUACUGAUUUAUUUUAUUAUAUUAGCAAGAACUUAAGCACAGAAAGCCAGCUAGGGAAUGGACCGAGUAGAACCCGAGAAAUCGUGCAUUUAUUUAUUUUUAUAUUUUAAAAAUAUUUUUUUUAAAACUAAAUUUAACUUCUUACUUUAAAUUAAUUUGUUUUGAUUUUUCAUAUCAAAAAUAAUUUUUAAAAAAUAAAAAAACAUAUUAUUUUAAUAUAUUUUUAAAUAAAAAAUACUUUAAAAAACAACUGCUCCUACGCUAUUAAAUACCCACAAAGCUCCUGCCACGCCACGCAAAUAUGGAAAAAAUAUAAUCUCUGUAAGAAAUAACAACAGACCCUGCAGCCAUGGAUUAGUUUGGUCUUUAUAAUUUAUUUGUUCAUGUUCCCAGCGUCCUUCACAAGGCACACACACCAUCAGCUCUAUGGCUUGUGAUUGCUGCAGCGGUGCUCAUGGCGAGGCCACGUAUAAGUGAUGGUUGUCUCCUGAUCUCCAAAUUGUUUUUCGAGAGAUGGAGUGGAGGUAGAUAUCAUAAGAAUCUAAGAUUUUAAAGGUGGUAUUACUGACUGACUUCGAAAAAAUCCCAGAAUUUUGUUAAAUUAACUGAACUCUUAUAUUUUAGGAUCAAAACGCAAACAAAACCUGUUGCAAUUUGUUGUGUCCUACCACCCCACCAGCUCCUCUUAAAAAGAUGUGUUUGCAGCAAGGUUGUAAUUAUUUUUCAAAAAAAAAAUAAAAUUGAGCUCAAAUUUCGUGUUUUUAAUCUCCAUUUUGCGGUACAAUUAGAUCUAUAAAUUCAAGCAAUGAUUUUUUAAUAUUACGUAUUUUUUUAAAAAUAAAUUGUAGUUUAAUUCAUUGUUGAUUUUGAACGUGAAUAAUUGCUACGAUCACUUAUUUUAGGUAUCAUGGUAUAAUUGACCCCGCUGAAAAUAAAUCCUGGCUUUGUCAUUGGUGGUGCUUGUUAGUUUUUCAUUUUCUUUUUAAUACAUAUAAUAACAAAAAAAAAAUGAGGCAGCAACAAUUUUUGCCAAUAAUAUAAUAAUGCAGCUUCAACCCAUCUAAUUUCAGGAAAAUUUAAGAGAGUGAUUAUCGAUAUUUAUUUUACGGGUAUGAUAUUUUCAUUAAUCUUGACAAAUAUUUUUUUAUUCUAUCUUAUAUUUCUUUUCAUAAAAUUACAAUAUCUGUCAUACGAGCUGGAAAACAUGGCACGAAAAAGAUUAUUAACAAAGAGGGAAAUAAGAUGAAAGAUUUCUUAUGAUUUUUUAGUAUCUCAAAUAAAAACGGUUACAAUUAAAUAGGAACAGAAAACUAAAAUCUUUCUGUAUUUUGGUAGUAUUUUUAUUUAAAAAUAUUUUUAAAUAAUAUUUUUUUAUUUUUAAAAAUUUAUUUUUAACAUCAACACAUUAAAACAAUUUAAAAUAAGUUUUUAAUAACUUUUUGUAAAAACAAUUACCAACCACAAAAACGAACAAACAGAGCCACUAAGCAGUAAUUCAACCCAUGAAAUAGGAAGUCUUCAAAUAAUCAUCCAAAAUAUAUAUAUAUAUAUAUAUAUAUAUAUAUAUAUAUAUAUAUAUAUAUAUAUAUAGACAACUUAUUUUCCAAAACCAUGGAGCAAAACAUGAGAAAGUUCGAAACCAAACAGGAAAAGGAAAAAAAGUUAAAAGUAAGAGAGUUUGAAACUAAGCCUGUAAUAGAAAAAACAUAACUGCAAAUUAAGUCAGAGUUCUCCGUGUAUAAGCGUCUCCCUGCUUCUUUUACUCUCACCAAAUUUCUCCUUACACGAUGAGUUGCACGGCAGUCUCAAACUUUGAUGAUUUUCUGAAUUUGGAGUCAAUGCACAAUUGGCCAGUAAACAAACAACUAACUGAUGAGGAUGUCAGGAGUUGCCUUACGUUGCCUACUGAAGGGGUCGAAAAGUACAUCAUGCCAAGAUUGCCACUUGAACAGAGUGAAAACCUAGUGAGAAACUCUGGAAAAACUGUCAUGGCGGUGUAUGAUGUUGAGAGAAGCAUCAGGUAUGAUAUGAAGCUUGUAAAAGAGCAAGAAGGUGGAUACAAACUUGAAGAUUGGGAUCAGGUCUCUAUGCUUAGAAGAAUUCAAGCGAGUCAAGGGAUUGGAAUGUCGUGGAGGAAUGGAAUGUUGCACUUCAAGAUAUUUUCCAAUUAGUAAACAGAGCAGCUAUACAUCUUUUCCACAUUAAAAAUCUCUCUCUGAUAUUUAUUUAAAACCAAUCAAUGUCUAUAUUUGCUAAUCAGUUUUUUUCCUUUCUAAUGUCGUGUUGCGGGAAAAUCCUGCUUGCCCAGGUUGAAGAAUAUAGAACAAAUUGGUGCUGGUGCCACUUGAAUUUAGCUUAUAAUCUGCAUUUUUUCCCUUUUUUUCAUUCUUGUGAGAUUGGGAUAGUUCCCCAUGUUUUGGCUAUGAAUUGAUGCAAUCCUUUUCGUUUCUUUUCUUGCAGUUUACUUUGAUUAGUGAUCACUGUCAUGUUGGGAAACUUUUUGAUGAAUAAAGCCUAAUCUAUACCCGGUCUGUGAUCAUUGAAUGCUCUACCCUGUAAGACUUUAUAGCACCUCCAUCGGCAAAGCGAGUCUAAUUUGCCACAAAACUAAUCAUUGAACAAACAGAGGAUCUAGUCACGGUGUCACAAGAUUAACAUAUCUUUGUUGGAGUAUAACACUAGCCAUCCAAGACAAACAGAUUCGGCUUUUCUUUCUCUAGUGGAAGGCAACUUCUGAUGAAAUGAGCCCUCUUUUCUACAGUUAUGUAACCUGGAGGGUUAAGAAAUACAGAGUGUAGCUCGGACAAUCAAGCUAGUUGUUUGAUAAGUGUUAUAAUAAUUGGAUGAUAUAUAGAGGUUUUGAGAUUGUAUAAUAUCAUUUGGAAGAAAUUCAUAUCUAUUAGUAACGUGUUAAGAUCUUCAAUCAAUGGGGUUUGAUAGCGCAAUCUGUUCCUCAAAUUGAUUUAUAAUAGCAACAGAAUUGUUUGCAUGCGUGGUUUGAAAGAAGAAUAUUAUUUGAGAAAUCCUAGUCAAGAGAGUUUUUAUUUGUCAUCCGUGAAUGAGCGAGGGAUAUUUGAAAACGUUAUAGCGGUUUAAAGUAUUUUUUGUUUGAAAAUAUAUUAAAAUAAUAAUUUUUUAAAAAAAUUAUUUUUCACAUCAGCACAUCAAAACAAUUUGAAAACAUAAAAAAUAUAUUUAUUAAAAAAAAUUCAAAUUUUUAAAAAACAUGAUUUCAACCGUAUUUCCAGACACCGUAUAAAUAUUAUCUUGACCAUUUUUCACCAACACUAUAAAUUCUAUUUUUAAAAAAACAAGAUUUAAGAGAGAUUUUUUUUUCAGUAUCAAUUUAAUAUUGAAAAAACCAUUGUCUUUCCAUGUAUAAAUUCAACAAAAUAACAUCCAUUAAUUACGAAUUUACUAGCUUAGAUUUCAAGUUAAUUGUAGAAGAAUAUACCCAUAUUAUGGAUGGAUGUGUUUCAUUGUAUCAUAUUUUUUUCUUAACUGAGAAAUGCUAAGAAGUUAUUGAUCAUUAAUAAAAUGAGUUUUAAAAAUAAUUUUUAUUAAUUAAAUAUUAAAGUAUUAAGCCAAUAUUUCUUAUAAAAGCAAAAAAACGGAUGGGUAUGCAAAUAUUCAAUACCCCUUUUUCUUUCAAAUUCAUGCGUUUUUAUUGUUAUUUUAUUGUGGAAGUUAUUUUUUCUCAUAAAAAACAAAAGAUUUUUAAAAAAUACAUCAUACAAAUACAAUUUGUUUAUAUCAAAUGAAAAAUAAAAAUAAAAAUUAUAUUAAUCUCUUUUAAACAUUAUGAAAAUAAAAAAAUAAAAAAUAAUUAUAUAAACUAAAACAAUACAUACAAAAGAGGGAGGAUAUUAAUUAAAAAAUUUAUAUAAAAAAAAAGAGACUAGGCGCUACUAGGUUUGGCAGGUCAUGCCCUUACGCCCAGCCAACUACCCGAACCUAAGCAUGUGCGGGCUUGGAAACUCGAAGCCACAUGUCUGAGCUUACAUUUUUUUUUGGCUCCUUUUUAUUUUUUUAAAAACUUAAAUCAAAUGAUACGUCGGUAACUUUCUAGUUUUGGCCACCUUAGCUGAUCUAAAAACCACAAGAAAGUUGGGUUUUGACUUUUAGAUAAAAAAAAAGGGUCUACUUUCAAUUAUUUUUUCACAUAAAAAUAUCCAAGAAACACUUUAUAAAUUUUAAUAAACCCAUUUAUGGCUUUAAAAUAGCAAAAAAUCACAAAGACAACCUGAAAUCACAUAAAGCCCCAAGACUUAGUCAAUUGUUUCUGACAAGACGAAGGCCAAAAACCAUCACUUUCAAACUUAUCUCGUCAAAUAGAACCUUUUAACACCAAGUUAAGCCAUUUUGAUUGCUGAAAUCAUUGGCACUAACAACUUUCUUUCUCCUCUCUGUUUUCUAAUAACCCUCUUUCUUUUUAAAUUAAGGACUAAAAAUAAAUAAAAUAAACUUUUAAUUUAAAAUUAAAAUUGUCAUGAAUUUGAUAUUAACCAUGUAUUUUCUUUAUAUUUUGCAUUUUAAUUCCCUAUUUUUUAUUUUAAAAUUUCCACUUAAAAUUAAAAAUGCAAGCUCCUUCACUGAGUUGGGAAAAUACCUAGUUCUUUUUGUUUUUAUAUAUAUAUACAUAAUGUUUCAAUAAUGAUUUUAAAACAUAUCCCAUGAACAUGACACGUCACCUAUUAAUAAAAUUUAAUAAAAAGCUCGGUACAAUUAACAAUUAUAUUUUUUACAAAUGUACUAAUAUAAGUGGGAUAUUAGAGACAUGGAUCGAUGCACAUCAUGUUACUCGAACUUGGAUCAAACCGAUACUCCGACAUGGUUGGUUGUAGCUUAACAUCGAUGUUCCAAAGUCAACACGAACCCCAAAUCAUCGGACACAAUAUAUAAAUCAAUCACGAGAGCUUUUGAAAAUCUGUGGCCGGUUUUUAUACCUUUGAUAACCAAAAACAAUAACAUACAGGUUUCAAUUUUUUUUGGAAAACAGAUGUAGAAAAUGUAUAUUUACCAAAAGGCCCCUUUAAUUUUCCUUUUUCCCCCCUUUCCUUCUGAAUUUUGUCGAACAGAAAAAUAAAACAAAAACGGUACCAUUAGUACUGGGCACGUGACGAAAACGUGCGCAUGUGCUAAACAAAAAGCUCAACGUAAACAUGCGGGUGCGCACGGCCUUAACCUGCGCAUAAACUUGCAGUGGAAUAACCGCGUCCGUGUGCUGAAGAGGAGGGAAAUAAAAGGAAAGACACGGGAGAGGGAGAGAGAGAGAGUAAAAGGGAGAGAGAUUGUGCAUGCCUCACUGAGUUGGAUUAACCGAGUCAAAGACAAAAACAACAACCACCACAACAACAAACAACCAAAGAGGGCUUAGGCUAAAAUCACCCCCACCAAAAAAAAAAACAGAGUGUGUGCGUGUGGGUGGGGGUGAGGGGUGUGGCAAUAGCCAAAAAAUGGAGAACAAGAAGGAGAUUAUUACUAUUACUUGUCUUUCUCUAAUCCUUUACCCCCCUCAUUCUUCUUUCUCUAACCCUAACUUUCUUAUUCUCUCUAAACUAGUUAUAACCUUAACCAAACACCACCAAAUCUUUCUACCACUUUUAUUUCUCUCUCUCUUCUCUCCUUAUUCUCGUCUUCUCUUCUCGUUGCUUUUUUCACUCUGCGCCUCCGUUCUCCUCUGGUAACAUUCUUUGUUUUCUUCUCUUUUUUUGGGGGAUUUAUCUGUUUGUGAUGAUCGAUCAAUGCAUGAUUCUAUCGUGUGUUUUCUGCAUAUUUUCUCGUGGGUUUUGUUUUGGUUGAUUGAUUUGUGUUAUUUUUUUAAUGUUUUUAGUGUCUCCGGUUAGGAUUCACGGGAAUUGAGUUAGUGUUGUUUUAUGGGGUCCUGUUUGGUUGCAAUUGUGUGUUUCCUUUGAUUCAUAAGUGUUCAGUUGCUGCUGCGGUUUGUCAAUUGGUUUUAUUGAUGGGUCAUUGUGCUUGGUUAGAUGUCACACCGAUUUGUUCAAGUUUUCAAUUCACUGGGCUUUGACUUUUAUAUGGUUAAAUUUUGUACGAUUUCCCCUAUUGAUUUUCAAUUAUCGAGUAAUUUGGUGCUUUAUCUUGUAUCUGCCUGCCUAUCUUAUGAGGUUUUGUUUUCCUGGGUUUUGGGUUCUUUGCUGUUUUAUUGUUGAGCUUGAUGCCAGCAGACUGCGUCAUUGUUUGUGAUGAGGUUUUUUUUUAUCAUUUCUAUCUUUGAAUUCCGCUUACUUUAUUUGGUUUUAGUUCCAAGAUUUAUUACUUGUAUCUUCCGUUUUGGAAUGACUUCUCUGGAUGCUAUGCCUUGAAUGCUUUACUCUUCUAUUCCCUCUCGCAUCAGUUUUCCACUCUCAUGGUUAUUCUAAUGUGAUGAGAAAGUAAUAUGCAUGUUAGCUCUUUUUCAGGGUUUAUCCAAUAUAAUUGCUUAGGUUUUUGAUGCAGGUUUUACGAAAGCCAUCUUUGGAAUAGGUGGUUAUUAUGACUUUGUGCUUAUCUGACUUGAAGCAACAAUGAGUGGGUAGUUUUUCACCACAUGGAAGAGUUGGGUCUUGUUCAGUUUGAUGCCAUGGGAAGCACAGUAAGAAAGAAGAGGAGUCAAAUUUCUCGCCGACCUAAGGAUUCCCAGACAUUUACUGACAAUUAUGAUCGUUCAUCAUUAUCGAUAUCACCACCUUCAGAUGACAUGAGCAAGGCUUCCAGUGAUGAGAAUGCUGAUAAUUGUAGGAGGAAAGAAUUUGGUCUUAAUCAAUCCGUGUCCAGGGUUUCUUCGGCUACUACUAGAGCUGAAAGAAAAAGAGCAUUUUCUGACAGUCACCCAAGGAGAAGUGUGGUUAACAAUAAAACUUCUCGUGAAGGUGCUCUUGCCCCUGCGAAUUGGAGAAGCAAAAGCAAGCUGAAGGAAUGCAUGGAUGUGGAGUCUAGAACUGCAAAUAUGUAUUGUGGAAGGAAUGGUGAAAGUUGGAGUUCAGAGCAGUCAGGAGUGAGUUUAGAUGUUUUAGGAAAUGAAAGCAAGUUUAAAAAGGUCAAGUUUAAGGUUGGUGAUGUGACACACACAAUUAAUGCCAACUCGACUACUAAUGGCGUGCCUUCUACAAAGAAUCCCCGAUUCUCAGACACCUCCAACACAAGGCAGAAACUUAGUCUUCAGGUGUUCUUGUCAUCCUGACUGCUUGAAUUAUGGCGACCUCUUAAUUCUUGCAUGCUUAUUCAUGCAUUGCAUUUGCUUUAGGACGUUCACUUUGACCAAAUACCAAUUUAAAUGUAUUGCAUUUGCUUUUGGACGUUCACUUUGACCAAAUACCAAUUUAAAUGUCAAGUAUUUUUUUUAAUUACCUUUGGGAAAUCACACACCUCCUAACAGUGCACCUGAAGGUUUGUAUCUGUGUCUGUUGCACUAAUUUUAACUUAUAUAUUUAUUUUUAACUUAAAGUAAGAAUUACCUAUCUCUUAAUAGUGUGCUGGAAGGUUUGUACUGCUUGUUGGAGGUGUAUAACUUAAAGAACUUCCACGUAGAGUUUGCAAUACUUUAUAGAACUACUCGCAUGGUAAUUUGACCAAUUCUUCAUCAUUACUUGCAUUUUUUGGAUCAGUUGUUGACACCAAUUUUCGGCUUGCGCACAUAGAUUUGUUUAUGUGGGUUUAUUUGGCAUCCUUUUUGUCUUCACUUUUAUGGAAGAAUAUCUACCACAUUAAUGUGUAUUAUCUCAGUAUCUCACCUAAUAAGUGAUCUCAUUAUUGAGUAAUGUUAGAAUCUGGUGUAAUCUCAUUAUUUUAAAUUAUUUUAUUGCAGGGGAAUUUAGAGGAGGAACGUUUUGUUUCAGGUAAGAGGCCAGGUUUGCAAGGAGUUCCUUGGAAGGAAUUCUCUAGAGGAGGGUUUAGUCUCGGGAAAGAGGAUUUUUUAAUGGGGAAGACUUCGGGCAAAAAUACUGCUGGGAAACAAGGAAAUAAGUACGAACGUAAGAACAAGCGGGCCCCCAAGAGGCAUGUUCUGGAUGGGGAAUUUGGUGAGGAUGACGAUGACGACGAGAUCCGAUACCUAGAGAAACUCAAGUUAAAAGUCCCAUCAGGACAUAAGGAAGAUGAUGGAAAUGAUGAUGAUGAAUCAAGUAAGAAACAACGAAAACUUUCUACCCUGGGAAGCAUUGGUGCUUCGAGGCUGGUUAAAGAUGGGAAAAAAAUAUCCAGAUCAGACCAAGCACCAGAGGAUGAAGAUUACGAGGAAGAAGAACCAUUAUCUGAUGGUGAGUUCGCAGGUAGUAAGAAGAAGCAGAAAAAGGAAUAUGUUGAGUCAUUGACAGAUGGUAAGAGGGAGCUGACUUUAACUAAGCGUCAACGGGCUCUUCAGUCAAGCAAAGAUGGCUCUUCUGUUCCUGAUGCUAACUUAAUUGAGUUUCCAAAUGGAUUACCACCUGCACCAUCAAAAAGUGAGAAUGAAUUGCUUCCAUAUGUGUUUUAUUGUCCAUUAGAACUCUAGUUUCUUAUUAAUUGUAGCUUUCCUCUUGUGAUUGCUUGUUCUUGUUCAUUCCAGAGCAAAAGGAGAAACUUACGGAGGUCGAGCAGCAAUCAAAGAAAGCUGAGGCUGCUCAGAGACGAAGAUUGCAGGUUGAGAAGGCUGCUAGGGAAUCUGAGGUUUGUUUUUGUGUAUAUACAGUUGUAUGCCAUAUGCAUGGAGAUCCACGAAGGUUAAACAGGCAUAUGCUUUAUUUUUUCUUGGUUUUGAUUUUGUAGGCUGAAGCUGUAAGGCUUUAUUUUUUCUUGGUUUUGAUUUUGUAGGCUGAAGCUAUAAGAAAAAUUCUCGGUCAAGAUUCCAGCAGAAAAAAACGAGAAGAGAAAGUGAAGAAGCGUCUGGAAGAGUUGGCACAGGUAUCCGCAAUUGUCUGGUAAACUUCAUAGUGUCUUAUACAAAGCUGCGUUCAAAUUUCUCACAUUUUCAUGUUUAGGAGAAGGCUACCAACGCCGAGAUGCAUGCAUCGAGUACCAUCAGAUGGGUCAUGGGUCCUACAGGGACUGUGGUGACAUUUCCCAAAGAAAUGGGUCUCCCUAGUAUAUUCGACUCUAAACCCUGCAGGUUUUGUUUUCUUCUGCUAAUUGAAAAUUCAUGCCAAAGCACCAAAUUUACUAGGCCAAACUGAUAUCAACGAUUGCUUAUUGAUGAUAUGAAUUCUCUCCGAAUGUGCAGCUAUCCUCCUCCAAGAGAGAAGUGCGCGGGCCCUUCUUGUACUAACCCAUACAAGUAUCGAGAUUCCAAGUCGAAGCUUCCGCUUUGCAGUCUACAGUGCUACAAGGCAAUUCAGCAACAGAGCCAGCAUGAAACUAACUGAUGACGCUUAAAGAUAUAUCUGCAUAGCCAUGUUAAUAUAUCAUAUAACUAUUGGGGCCAGGCUAGCAAAGAGGCAUUUUUUAUUCAGUAUAGAGGGAUUAUACAGAUAUGGAUGGUUCAUUUUCUGUCAUCUAUAGCUUAAGGAUAUUCAAAAAAAAAAAAAACUAUAGCUUAAGGGUUGAUUAAUGGAAAUUUGUCUUCAAUUGAAUGGAAAUGAUGUUACUGAGAGCUUUCAAUUUAAUCAAAAUGAUGUUUCUGAUUAAUUCCUCUUUUUUUUUACUUGAUAAAGAAUUCCCCCUACCUUCUUAAGUCUACUGGUUGAGUGCAAGUAAUGUUUCUUGAAGUAAUGUUCUUAUGGAUUUUUCAUGGCCAUUCGAUGAUGGUGUGACUUGGUGACGGUCCAUCCAACACAAUCAUGAAAUGAGUACAUUAUAAAUUAUAGUUCUACAAAACAAAUUAAAUGAUCCUUCUAGUUUUAAAAACUAAUUAAUUUGUAUUUUUCAUUUAUUCUAUCUUUUUUAACUUAAUUUAUUUAUUUGUUUUGAGAACUAAGAAGAUUGAAAAAAAAAAAAACAAAUGGAUAACAUAGAAAUAGAGAUGAGAAAAGAAGUAAUUUUUUUUAAAAAUAAAGUAAUAUUAAAUUAAGUUCGGUCAACAUUUAUUAAAAGAUUAAUUAAUUAGUUUUAAAACCUUUUGUAAGACUAUAGGGAUUAUUUUAAUAAUAAUUUACUAAAAAAGAUGGUACUCCCUUGAUUCUUAAGAAACUCUCGUGCUUUUCUUUUUCCUGCAGUUCCAAUUCAAAUUGCCAAUUUCCAUUUCUUUAUCAUCUUUCCAUUUUACUAAAUAGUCUCCGUUAAACAAUUAUAUUGGGAAUGAGGAGUAAAAUUGUACCUUUUCUCUCGCUCUCCUCUUCCAAGAGAAAUCCUGCAAUGUUUCUUGCUUUCAUAAUUACUUUAAGGUUAUUUACUUCUAUAUAAGUUAAUUCUCUCCUUAUGGGGAGUAAGAUUCUUGCUUCUUCUUUUUUCUUUUUCCUUUUUUUUUUAUCGCAAAAGAAAUUAAUCAUAAGUGGUCGCUUUUAGGAUGUUCAUGCCUAUGACAUGCAAACAAACAUGGGGCUAUUUUCUCUUUUUGGCUUAUUAUAAUUUUUUUUAAAAAAAUAUUGGUAAAAUAACAUUGUUUGUACAUAUUAUGAUUGAAAAACGCAACAUUUAUAGCUUGUUGCUAUUAUGAAUAAUAACGACAUCUAAAUUUUUUAAUUGAAUGAGCAGGAGAGAGAAGAGAGAGAAAAAAAAGACAUUAAAGAAACACUGAAAACUCCGAUUACAACGCAACCGAUAUCAUAUAAAAGAUCUCGACAAGAUUAAUCCAACAAAAAAAAAAAAAGACAUCAACAAUGACCUGAAUAUGCCUCACUUGUCGUCAAAGAUAAAUGAGCCACACGUCAUUUUUGGACGACAAGUGUGGCACACUCGGUUCACUAUUGAUGAUCUUUCUUGGUGUCGUUGAAUUCGUUACCCAAGAUCUUUCUGAUGAUACCAAUGAUGUUGUAAUUGAAAUCCCGGUGUGUCAUCGAUGUCAUUUUCUUUUUUCUUUUCUCUCUAAUCUCUCCUGCCAAUUUUUAUUUAGAUGUCGUUAAUAUGAAUGAUGAUAAAUUAUAAAUAUCGCGUUUCUCAAUUGUAACAUGUGCAAACUAUAUUUUUUCAUCAAUUUUUUUUUCAAUUGUGCUAUUCUGCUAAUAUUUUUAAUUUACAAUGCUAUUUUUUUCUAAAAAAACCCCAAACAUAGUGAUUAGAUUUCAUUCUUGUGUGUUUAAUAUUAUACUACAUGAUAAUUUUUAAAAGUAUAUUUGACUUGAAAAUAUAUUAAAAUAAAUUUCUUAAGAUUUAUUUAUAUUAGUACAUAAAAUCAUAAAAAAACAUUAAAAAAUUAAUUUGAUAUUUUUUAAAUAAAAUAUAUUUUAAAGAUAACCAAAAUCAGUUUUUUUUCUCAUGAGAAAAGAGUAUAUCUUAUCAUGCAGGAUUUAAAAAAAAGACUUAAAAAAGAUUGAUAGAAUAAAUUUGUUACAUGUUAGUGACUACGAUACAUUAACAAAGAGAAAUCAAAUUUUAAUUUAUUUGUUUUUUUUAUUGGAAAGGAACACGCCACAAAUGGCCGAAUACCAAACAGCUGUAUUGGAAGAAGAAAAAAAAAUCCACUAGAAAUGAUGUUGCAAGGGAAAAAAAAAAAAAAAGGGAAGUAAAAGGCAAACGGGUCACAGAAAUAGCGGACCGAUACCACCCGUUUGGCAAACGGGUCAAAGAAAGACCCAGAAUGAAGAUAUUCAGCAAGUCUCAGUCUCUGUUGUAGCCGAGGCGUUAUCAUCCGUUUUUUAGCUGAGCUCUCAGGCACACACUAGCAAUAUCAUCAACUACCUCCUCCUCUAGCCCUAAGAUUUUUAUAGGAUAAGGCGCUAAUACUAGUUGAUUCGAAACACUAAAAAAUAAUCUUAGAAAUGGCACACUCAUGCGUCUCCUCAUCGGCCUCUUCCCUCAGAUUCAGCUCCCUUCCCUUCUCGCCAAACCCUUCAGUCGGCUCAGCUCCUGAUACCCACAAGCUCGCUUUCGCCUUCCACCCUCUCCGUUCCAGGUUAAUCCUCCUCCCUUUUUUAUUACUGAUUUAUCUGUAACGUUUUUUUUUUUUUUGGGUCUAGAAAAUUUAGCAAUAUUAAAGAAAAUUAAGACUAGGAUGUUUGCUGAUUACUCGAUGGUUUUACUGUUAUUAUCAUUAUUCUUGGAUUCACUGAAGAGUAAUAAAUAAAUAAAUAAAAAAUUGAAGCUUUUUGCAUUUUGUUAAAGAAAGUUAUUUUCUUUUUUAAAAUCUGCAAGGAAACAGAGGGUUUUAGGGUCGGAUUUAAGCUCUACUAGAAAAUCCUCUUUUGAGCACUGAUAAUUGGUAUCAUUAGACAAGGAUGCUAGAAGAUUUUUACGUCUUUUUUAAAAAAAAUGUUUCAUCUUUGCCAUAGAUAGUCGAGAAAUUCAAGUGUCCUCGUUCUCCACUUGUGUUGCAGGAAAUUGAGAAAGUUAGUCAGUGAUAGGAAGACUAUCCAGACAUCUUCGCCGAAGGCUGUUUACUCUGGUGAGUUUUGGGCGCCUGAGAGAAGUUCGCGACAGGGGAUUUGGUCUAUAAGGUAGGCAGGGUUUAUUAGAGACUUUACACCUUUUAACUUGCUGUUUUCAUUUUGCUUGAUGUGCUAAUAAAUGGAGAAAAAAAAUGUGGAACUGGUUUUCUAGGGAUGAUGUGCAAAUCCCUUCUUCACCCUACUUCCCUGCCUAUGCCAAUGGAGCUCAAGCUCAAGGACCACCACCGAUGGUGCAUGAACGGUUCCAGAGUGUUAUCAGUCAACUUUUUCAACAUGUAAGUGAAUAGGUUAAACAUCUUCCUGUGCUUGCUUAUCGUCUUGAAUGCUUGGUUGUUUUUAUACAACGUUUGAUUUUGUUGUUGUUUGAAUUCCUAGAGAAUUAUACGCUGUGGUGGAGCUGUUGAUGAUGAUAUGGCAAACAUUAUUGUUGCUCAACUUCUCUAUCUCGAUGCUGUUGAUCCCAACAAGGUGAGUUUGGUGACUUUUCAUUGUGGCUGGCUUGUUUCUUAUAUAUUAUUGUCAACUUCAUUUCAAUUUCCAUCUGCUUCUGAACCUCCAACAGCAUUAAAGUUUAUGAUCUUAUCUCGCCAUUGUUAACUGAAUUUAGUCAAGCUAUAUAACUACAACACAUGCACGUGCACCAACACAACCACAUGAACCUGUUUUAACACUGUCCUUUUAUCUGAAGAAAUGGGGAAGCAGUUUACUAAUUAGGGCAUGCCUUUUCUUCCAAGCAGGAUAUUGUUAUGUAUGUGAAUUCUCCUGGAGGAUCAGUUACUGCUGGUAAUUCUUUUUUAGAUUGAAGUCUUCUUUUAUUUGUUACCUUUUUCCCAGUUACCUUGGCGUAAGGAGUCUUGGUUUUACUUUUUCGGACUCUCUCUCACAUGUUCUCUUCUGUACUUUUUCUUAGGCAUGGCAAUAUUUGACACAAUGAGGCAUAUCCGACCUGAUGUCUCCACUGUCUGUGUUGGACUGGCAGCUAGGUACAAGAUUCUUUCUUGUCAUUUAUACCUUAACAGCUAAAUGAAUCACUGGUUUUUACUACAUUUUUCCUACUACUUCGGCCUUUGUUGCGUGAUGAAUCAAUAUAGACUGAUUUAUUGCUUCUUUUAUUCAUCAUUUGUUUGCAGAAAUAGUUGUUUUAAAGGAACGUAAUUGAAUGAUUAACAGUAGCUUUUCUAUCAUAGAUUGGAUUCAACUAUUCUAACCUUGCUGUCCCAUGAGUGAAGCAGCAUUGGUUUUGGAACUUCUAUGGAUACUAUGUGAUGUAGAUUGUUGGUCUUGUUUAAGUGUAAUGUUUAUUGAUGACUAGAGAAUUAUAUGGGUACCUUCUCAGUAGAUGCAUGGGUACCAUGGGAAUAACUUAAAUAAUGUGGUGUCAAAAUCUUGAGCUAAUGGCAGUUGAUCAACAUUGAUGUUCUUAUGAUAGAUCCUUGGGAACGAUAAUUACUAGGUGAGGUCAACUCACCAUUAGACCACACUUAAAGGACUGUGAGACUUGCCCUCUUAUUAGUGUGGGGUAAUGGGAAGCCAUGCUCACCCAAUGAUUUUUCCUUGAUAACACAGUUGAGCUAGAUGCUUCACUGUCAAUGACGCGUAUAAUGAAAUUUGUGUAGGAUCUGAGAAUUCUAUGUUGUAUUUUUUUUCCCAGUUAAGGACUACCGAUAGUUGUCAAAACUACUGCCACACUUCCUCUUCCAGGCUGAGGAUUUAGUAUACUAAACUCUGCACUUGAUCCUUUUCCAAUCACUUCUUAUGAAUAGAGUGCUUAUAGAACCACUAGCAUUCUGUAUUAAGUGUAAAAAAAUUAUUUUAAGAUUUAUUGCUGCUAAAAUAGUGGGAAAGGGAAAAUAAUUUUCGUUUAAGAAUACCAUUUAAUUUUCACUUGGCAUUCUUGAACAUUUUCCAUUACUAAAAAUAUCUGUCUUUUUUCUCUUUAUUUUGGUUAAACAGUAUGGGGGCUUUUCUGCUUAGUGCUGGGACCAAAGGUAAAAUGCCCAUUACUUGUUGAUUUAAAGUUCGAAUCUGUGGUUGCUGCUUCAAAAUUUACUGAAUAUGUUUCUCUUUUCCUAUGUGACUGAAGGAAAAAGAUACAGCUUGCCGAAUUCAAGGAUAAUGAUCCAUCAGCCUCUUGGUGGAGCUCAAGGUGGGCAAUCUGACAUAGAUAUCCAGGUAUGCAUCCUUUUUCUCCCAGACUUGUAUUUGCUUGUGAUUUGUGAAGCUUUUUUAACAGGUAUAUCCUAGUGCUUCUGAUUUAUAGCCAUUCCUAUUUCCUGACACGAACUAGGUCUUGAUCUGAAAUGACUUCUUUGUUGUGUUAUGGGAGACCUAUUGGUUCCCGGCACACUUUCUCAUAUCUUAAAUCGGCAUAAUUUUCAGGCAAACGAAAUGUUGCAUCACAAGGCAAACCUAAAUGGGUAUCUCGCCUACCACACUGGUCAAAGUCUUGAGAAGAUCAACCAAGAUACAGAUCGUGAUUACUUCAUGAGUGCGAAAGAAGCCAAGGACUAUGGGCUCAUUGAUGGUGUUAUCUUGAAUCCUCUCAAGGUUCUCCAGCCUCUUGCAGCUGCAGCAGAUCAACAAUGACACGUCUAGCGUGUAAAAUUCUCGGUUGUUGUUACUUUAAAUUGUAGAGUUGAAUGAGAUUGAUCAAAGAAGACCCUGAGUUUGUUUUAAUGAUCAAGAAUAUUGAUAUCUAUGCUCCAGGGAAUUAUAGAACAUGCUUUUCUGGUAGUUCAGGCAGAGCCUUUUCUCCACACUGCGCUUCUCUCUCAUAAACUGUUUCUUUUUGGCGAGUUUUAGUUUAACUAAAUCCUGAGAAAGAGAUUGAACAAGCCCAACAAACUCAUCCAGUUAAUUAUUUCGUAAGCCACUCAUAUGCCCCUGAAAUAUAUACAAGUUUUCAAGAUAUUCCUUGAAUGGUCAAACAUUUUCAGUCUAUGUUACUAUGUUUACAGUUCCAAUGUUUCCCUUCCGUUACAUGAGGUUGGGUUUGGAAUAACAUAUAGGGCACAAGGGAUAUGCAUUUGACAAAAAAUAUCAUGUUUGGUUUCCGAGACUUCUUUAUCUCUCUGUUUUCAGGACUCGCAAUUGGCGGGUUUAACAUGUUAACUCGGGUUGAAGUGAGUUUUUUUUUUUUGUUAUUAUUGUUUUUUCAAUUUUAUCAUUCGAUAUUUGAUUACUUGAAAAUUGAGCUUCAUGAUUUUUUUUUAAGUAUUUUUUUUCGUGCAAGUUAUCAUGAUCAAUUUUAUUUUAAUUUGACAUGUUUAUCAUUAUUUUUUUUUAUGAUCAUACAAUUAAAUAAAACCAGCUUAUUAGACCUAGACGGUUCUAUAAUUUGAGUCGUUGAUUUUUCUCACUUCUUUAAAAUAUACUAACAGCGUCUAAAAAUCUUUUUUUAUUAAAAAAAAAUUAAAUCAGCCCACCGCAUAUUGCAACACCAAUCAUAUAGUCAUUUCAUUGUUGAAUUUAGAAAAAUAUAUGAAUUUGAAUUUCAAAGAUAAAAAAAAAACUUUAAAAUUGAAUAUUGUGUUUAGUUUUUUCGUUGAAAAAUGAAUUUUUAUGUUAGAUUUGUGUUAACAAGGGUAAGAUAUGAAAAUCGGGAUUUUAUAUUUUGCAACCAUCCCUCGCUGGAAUUCCACUCUUGCUUGGGCAAGGUUGAAGAAGUCAUUGAAUGACACGUCAUUUGCAAGAACAACGCUUCAUCCAUGUCUGCAUGGUUGGUCUUGGAGUAAGGCCCAGACAAGCUUGGGGUCAACUCCAAGCCCAUAUUGUUUUCUUCUUCUUCUUUUCAUAAGAUUUUUCUGUUUUUUUUUUACAUUUUCCUGCGUUGAAUUUAUAAAUUUUAAUUUUAUUACUUAUAUAUGCUAGAAAAUGUACAAUAAUUAUUUUUUUUACCAAUCUAUUUUUAUAUGAUUUUACAUGUAUAAAAUUUAUUACAUGUCAUUCUUCUAAUUCAAGAUUUGAUAUUAUUUUAAGGUAAAUGAAAUAUAUUUAUUGAAAAUAAUUAUAAUAUAAAAUAUGCAUUUAUUAACAGAAAAAAUAAAUUUCCUAUAAUUUUGAAUUUAAUGCAAGUAAGACAAUGUACUGAUGAAUCUAUACUUAUUGUGCUCGAAACUAUAGUGUUUUUUUUCCGAGUGAAAAAAAAUAAAACCAUUUAAAAGUAUUUAAUAAAUAGCAUGUAUAAUAAAAAAAUACGAGGGAAAAUAGAAUUUGUUUUUGUAUUUUAUUUCGACGACUCGUCCUAGAACCAAACAAAGACAAACAAAAGAAGUUCAUAUAUCAUGUCUUAUAAAAAAUACAAACGAGUCUCGUUUGAAACAUCUUGUCUCGUCUAUCUAUCAUUAUUUAUAGGGUAAAAGAUUUAAAUUAUCUAUCAAGUUUAUCGUUAAUAUAUAUUUGAAGUGUGUGUAUAUAUAUAUAUAUAUACAUAUAUCAUUAAAAAAAUAUAAAUAUAUAUUUCAUAUUAAGUUUAAGCAGAUUUCAUGUGGGGUUUCAUACUGUCUAAAAAAUAUUCAGAUGGCAACUCUCAGGAAUAUAGCUCAAUUGAUCAGAUUUUAAGUUUGCUCCCUAAAAAUCAUUAGUUCUAAUAUCAUAAAUCUCAGAAACACUAAAAAUUUAUAUGAUAAUUAUUAAUCAACGUACACUUAUAAUAACCUAAAUACUCACUAUUACCCCAAAAAAAAAAAUUUCAGACAUGUGAUUAAAUUGAUAUGAGAUAUUUGACAAGUUGAUUGAUAUGAGAUAUUUGACAAGUUGAGGCGUUUUUGAGGCUGACGGCAAUCCUUUCCCCAACAAAAGAAAAGUAUCCGUUGAAUUCGCCUUGUCUACAGCAGAAUCUGCGACUGCUAACACGCUCGAAGACAUAGAGCAAAGCACCAUUAUAUUUUGACAAGGGCGAUGCUUACCAUUGCUCAAUCAAAGCUGCACAACAAGGCACUUCCAAAAAGGCCAAACAUCUCUCCCACCAAAUCACCCACUCACCAAAAAGUAACAGAGAGAGAGGGAGAGAGAGACUUAUCUCUUAAGAUAUCUUUAAGCACUCACUCGUGAACCUCGUGCCUUGUUUAAUUUUAAAUACAAAAACACACACCCAACAACCAAACACAGGAGGCCGGCCCCCCCCUCUCUCCUCCUUCACUGUGAAAGAUGUGGGUUCCUCGUCUGUCAAGAGCAUUUAGUCUGAAUCUCAAGAAACCUAAUUAUAAAAGAUGAUAUAUUUAUUACUCCACUACCUUCUGUGUUAGUGUGCAACUUUAUUACUACUUUACUCACUUCGAAGAAAACAACUACCACUAGAAGUGCCCUAUAUUAUACAUGGACAUUUUUAACUACAUUUUUCAAAGGCAGGAAGCCCCAAAAGGCGAAAAAAAAUAUAAAAAAAUAACUAGAAUCAAGAAGGGACAACAGGAAUCCUUUCAUCGAAAAAAUUGCCCCUCACGAAGCUAGUGAAAGAUGAAGAUGUGGGUAGCUCUUCUAGCUCAUCAAAGAAGUCAUUGUUCUCUUCUGAUUUGGGUGCUGAAAAUGUCAUCAGUCUGGAGCAACAGAUGGGCUCUUCGUCGAAGACAAUACCCAAUGUGUCAUGACUUUUCUCCGAGUUCUCAGUGAAAGGGUAGUCCUGGCUAAUCAUGAUAUCUUGAGGAAUUCUUAUUGGGGAUUCUAAGUAGUGGAAAUUGUGACCUUCACUGACAUCUUCAUCAGUGCUUGGCAUGAUGGGAUGAUCGUGCCUUUCUCCUGUUUCUUCUUCUGGUUUCUCUUGUUUGGGAGUUAUGGGAUGAUCUACAAGAUCAGUCGGUGGGGUUUCGGGAUCUCUUGGUUGUUGGUUCACGUUAGAGUCAUGGAGAUCAGGACCUGGAUGGUUGUGAUUUGAGGUGUAAGUAACGAUGAGUACCGAAGCAUCUGUCCUGCAUCUUUCCACUUGUUUCUUGGCUGAACAGCCCUUCGAUGUACUACACCUGUAAUAGCCCCUGCAUGCAGAGAGAAGCAUGAAAACCAGUGACAAGUACUCUUGCUUUGUGUAGGAAAAACCAUCAUGGAGAAACAAUGAUGGACAAAAGUAGUAUUUGGAACAUUUUGGCAAAAUCCAAAGGAUAGAGAGAAGAUUUUCACUUUUUUACUCUGAAAUGUAAGCUACUAAAUCAACAUUAGCAAAAAGUAUGAGUUGCGUUGAUCUACUGUAAUUAAGAAGAAAAAAAAACAUAUUAGACCAUAAAGACAUAUAUAGUGAAGAGAGAAGAGACUUGAUCCAAAAAUUAAUGAAAGAAGAUGGUAAACCUUGGAUAAGGAGAUCCUUUAAUAGGUUUUUGCCCAUAUUUCCUCCAAGACCAGAAAUCAGAAGGUGGCCCUUCGUUCUUUAAUUUCACAGCAUUUUCUCCAAUCCUCACUCUAACAACAAUCUUCUCAACCAUCUUCCUACAAAGCAAGCACAAUAUUCUCAAAUAAAUCAGGGGUAUAAAGUAUAGAAUAAGCCCUGGGCAGAAACAUGCAUCAAAAUCAACAAGCUUUUCAAAAUGAAAUUAUACUUGGCGAGAAUAUAAAAGAAAACAAAAGCAAGAAAGAAGAGCACCAACCCACCUUCUUUUAGAUGUCUGAGUUUCCGGGGUGAGUUCGGAAACAUUAGAGUCCAAUUUUCUAGAGGGAGAACUAUCCAUGACACACUUUUUGCUGCUAUGCCGCUUCUUACUAACUUAUGCCCGAAAAUGCUUUGAAGAAACACAGAAUUGCUCUGAAUAUUAACUAGGGGAAGUCAGUGAAAGAGGAAAGAAGAGGAUUGGGAUCAUACUCGAAUCAAAUUGAUUAAGAGAGAGAAAAGGGAAAGGAAAGAAGGAAGUUAGGCAAUAGAUGACAGGAACCUCAAUUUGCUUUCUCUCAUUUUUCUUUUCACGCAUUUAUAAUAUAUUAAAGCAAUGAACAACCAUGUAUAUAUCAGCACCACCCCCACCUUGCUAUAAAAUAAACCCACCCCCACAGUUGCACAUAAAUGUCAAGAUAUUUGUUUCAUAUGGGAAAAACAUGAUGGCCCCCUUCCUCCCUCCACUUGAUUGGCUGAAAGAAGAGCGAGACCAUCUCUAUGUCCAUGCACAUUUUGGAUUUGCCAUGUGGAACUUAUUAUCAUGGUCAGCAUGCCAUGUAAGAAAUAAUUCUUCUUCUUCUUCUUCUUCUUCUUCUUCUAUUGUGGGUGCAGACACAUUCGGGAACAUGCCAAGCAUAAAAAGAUGCAUUGCAUUUGGUUACUGCUGGAUUUGGUGAGGUGACAAUGUCAUUGCACAUAUUAGCAACAAGCAACCUUCCUGGGAUGAACCAUAAAAUGUAACAGGACAAGUUUAAUUAAGAGAGGUUUUCCUAAUUUUGCCCAAGCAGGGCUGCCCUAUGCCCUCUUUCUGAUAACCUAUGAGAUGAGGUGAAGGGCAAACUUAAUGCAGAUAGAUAGGUAGGUAGAACUGAGCUGCAAAAGAUGUUGUUAAAGAUAAAAUCUAUUUAUUUUUAUUUUAAAUUAAUUUUUUAAAUAUUUUUACAUCUUUUGAUCUAUAGUAUUUUUGAAUUAUUUCAAUAUAUUAACAUUAAAAAUAAAUUUUUAAAAUAAAAAAUAGUAUUUAAUAUAUAUAAAAAAACAUUUUCAAAAAUAAAUUUACCACACUCUCGAGUUUUCUUUAAAAUAGUUGAUGGUAAUUUAGAGGAGUGUAACUCAACUGGUUAAACUUUAAAUUUGUUUUUAGAAAUUAUUAGUUUGAGUUCUAAAAAAUAUUUUUAUGGUUGUUAAUUGUAAAAUAUAUAAAAUUAAUAGUUAAUUCAAACAUCAAUAUUAAUUGUAAAAAAAAAGCUGCCGGCUGCAGGACAUGACACUCUCCUACCCGUGUGGGCCGGGAACUGGGAAACUAGUUCAGAUAAAAGCAAGCACAAGCGGCCUGUCAUUAAAAAUUGUUCUGAUUUCACUGGGUGGCGCUGAUGUAGAAACUUUAACCACUGAGAUAAGGAUAACGACGUAAUUAAUGUUUUGUUCCUUUUCUUUGUUUUUCUUUCUCUCGCAAAUAAAAUAAAAAUUAUAAAGUUGAAGCAUCAUGCAUAGCACCGGCUGCCGCCCGGCCGCCCGGCCGCCAGUUAACUAGCCAAUCCAUGGAUCAAAAGAUCUAAAAAUAAGAUAAAAAGGAGCAGCACUUUUGAGGACAGGUGGACACACAAGGCGAUCUGAAAAGCAACAAGAAAACAAAGAGAACAUCUCUAUUUUGUGGUAGAAUCACAUUUUAACUAUAAAAUUUGUCUUAAGAGUACAGGGCUUCGAAGACACCACUUCGAGUCGUACGGUCUGCUUGAGUAUCUAUUAAACACAGUCAUGAUGUGGAAUCACUCUCAUUUGACGUGUUAGUAUCUCAGCUAAAUUGAUCCAAAACAUAACAAAUCUAUUAAAUAAAAAAAAAAAAACAAUUUCAAAAGGACAUUAAAAAAAAGUAAUAUUUCAGAAUUUUCCAAAUGCACUGUGAAUUAUUUUUGAAAGCUUCUCUCUCUUCAAUUUUAGUUAAAAAAGAGUCUUCAAAAAGAAAAGAAAACAACCUUUUAAAUUUGUGUGCUCUCUCCUACAAAUAAUAAUAAAAAAAGCCAAGAAAAGAAAACAAAUCCCCCCCCCAAAAAAAAAAAAAAAAACUAAAAAUAUAUAAUUACCCUGAUUUAAUUGUAUUAGCAGCAAUGGCCAUAUGGGGUGGGUGUUUGGUGAAAGUAAUUAUUUUUUAAAAUGUUUUUACUUGAAAAUUAUUAAAAUAAUAUUUUUUUAUUUUUUAAAAUUAUUUUUAAAAUAAACACAAAACAAUCCAAAAAUAUUAAUUUAAAAUUAAAAAAUUAUGAAACAUGGGUUGCAACAUCUAUAAAAACCUUCAAUCACUCUCUUAAAAAAUAAGUGGAUGGAUGUUUAAUAGAUUAGCUUGGUAGUUAAAGAGGUUUCUUCUAUUCUUUAACUUUUUUUAUCAUUUAAAAAAUUUAGUUUUAAUUGACACACAUAUAAUACUUUUAUUAUUGAAAAAAGAAACUACAUCUAAAAUAAACAUCUCAAGCAACGUGACAUUUAGCCAAAUACAAUGAGAAACAAACAAAGUAGUGUGAAAUUAGUUAAGAAAAGGAGUGCAUAGUCAGAUUGCAGUCAUUCAACCACAACACCAUAGUUCCAUUGCAGUUUAGAAAUCCGCACCAUGAGAGGUAAAUAAUUUUGAAAGCAUCCACGAGACAUUUAUGGAAUUGAUGUUAUUAAGGAAGACAUGGAAAGUGAUUGAUCUUCUAAAUUUUGAGCCGAGUCUUCUUCUGGUUAGUUAGGACUCCAAAUUAUUUUGCAUGGAACAAGUAGUUUGAGGUUGAUGCCCUCAAACUUCUGGUUGGUAGGGCUUCUUGCUACCAGUAAUUUUAAUGCAGUUUAUUUUCUCGGUCACGAUUAUCCAAAAUGCUUGAAAUUUAGAUAACAAACUGUUAUAAUUAAUGGUUGUACAUGUAAAAUGGACCCAAACCCCUCCCUCUCAAAAUAGACCAGAAAAAUCCCUCAAAAUAGGCCUAUCAAGAACACCUUUUAGGCUCGAGCUAGGUAUCUCAAGCUCAAAGUACAACAAGGGCCCAUGGAAAGUGGAGUGGGCUCGGGUAUGGUCGCUAGAACCCAACUCCCUAGAAAGCAUGAGCUUGAGCAAGAAGCCCGAGCCCAUGCAAGGAGUACACCUAGUAUGGGCAUGAUAUACCUGGCAUCACCAUGGGCUAGGGCUUCUACGCCCAAGCCUCAUGUGCCCAGACUCGAGAGUGCGCCCUGAGCCCAACAUGCCUGGGUCCAAGCAGCACGUUUGAACCCAUUUCUUACCUCUAAUAUGCCUGAGCUCAGCGUGUUUGGGUUCUAGUAGCGCACCUAAACCCACUUUCACCUCUCAUGAGCUCAGACUGUCACACCCGAGCCCAACAUGUUUGGGUCCUGGCAGCAUACCCGAACCCACUUUCACCUCUCAUGGCCUCAAGUUAUGAUGCACGAGCCUAGCGUGUUUGGGUCCAGGCAGCGCGCUCAUACCCACUUUCACCUUUAAUGGGCUUGGGCACCUUGCCUGAGCCCAACACUCGUCAUGUGGGUCUCUCAGUAUUUUAUAUUGAUCCAAUACGUAUUAUUUUGAGUAAAAUACAACUCAAAAUAUCAUAAAGAUAAAAUUAUACUCUAAACCCUCCUUUUCGCAAUAAAGGUUCACAAUCUUUAUUCUCUACUACAUAUAUAUUUUCAGAGCAUCACUUUCUAGAAUAUUAUUGUAUUUUCUCUCUCUAAAAACAUACUUAUUUUAAGUAUUAUAGAGUUUCCACCUCCACCAAAAGAGACCUUUUGCAGGUACUGGCCACAAGCCACAUUGGCAUACCAAGCACCGAGUGUAAGCUAUCAACCCACCUUAGGUAGGGAUAAUUGAUGUGAUUACUAGGACCAAUUGAUUAACCGAUUAUCCAACUCGAGAACCUUAUUAUUAGGCUAUUUGGAUUUUCGGGACAUUAUCAGUUUUAUACACACACACACACACACACACACACACACGUACUAAAAACCAUUAUUGUAAACAACCAUCCUCGUCCCUGAGUAUCAUUUUAUUACUAUCCUGGGACAAAAGGAACAAACAGAGAAAUGUAUUUGGUUGAAGAGACAAAAACACAGAUAUAAAAGUAAAUUUAUCUUCAGGAUAAUUUUGGACUGAAUUUUUGUACUUUCAAAACAUGAGGUAUAUAGGGGACAUGUCUCAAGAGACAAUAUUUAUUAUUUUUUAUUCCUUAAUAUAUCUGUAAAAAAAUUUCAAUUUCAAAAUUGUUCAACUAAAACAUAUAAAGAUAAAAAAUGGUUAUUAUUCUAGUUUUAAAAUCCAACUCGAGAAUCAAUUCGGGGCAAAGCAUGUGUCAUGAGUCGGGUUAACUCAAGUUGACCCAAGUUAGUGUAAGAAUAAAAGUGAUUAUUAUCAUAAUUUUAAAAUUUGAUUCGGGGAUCUACCCGAGGCAAUGCCCGAGUCACGAGUGGGGUUGAAUGUUGACCCGAGUCAACAUAAGGAUAAAAGUGGUUAUUAUUAUAGUUUUAAAACCUGACUCGAGGGUUAACCUAGGGUAAGGCUUGAUCACGUGUCAGAAGGGUCAACACAGAAUAAAAGUGAUUAUUAUCAUAGUUUUACUAUUUGAUACAGAGAUCAACCUAGGGCAAGGCCCGGGUCACAGAUCAAGAGGGUCAACUUGGGUUGACUCAGAGCAAUUUAAGGAUAACAAUUGUUAUUAUCAUAAUUUUAAAAUCCAACUCGAUGGUCAAUCAGGGCAAGGCCCAGGUCAUAGGUUGGGAGGGUCAAUAUGGGUUGACCCGAUUCAACGUAUGGAUAACAAUAAUUAUUAUCAUAGUUUUAAAACUCGACUUGAGAGUUGACCCGAGGCAAGGUUCAGAUGACGGGUUGAGAGGGUCAACCCGUCAAAUCGGUUUUGGUUUUAUAACUAGGUUAUUAUAAUAUUUUUAAUCUCAACACACAAUAUAAACUAAAGUAAAAAAAAAACUAAUUAUUUUUUAAAAUAUGUAAGUUUGACAACAAUACAUAUUAAAGGUGAAAUAGAUUUUUUAUAAAUUGUUUAUUUUGUCUUAUUCACCAUAACCAAACAUGAUACAAAAACAAUCAUUUUAUUUUGUACAUCACCACCAAACAUAAUUUUAUCUCUGUCUUUUUUUCUACUUGUCUUUUUAUCUCUACUAUCAUUGUCUUUUCUGUCCCGAAGCAAUAACCAAACGCUAACUAAGGUAGCACUUUGUUACUGUCCUAGGACAGAAGAGACAAAGACAAUUGAAACAUAGGAGAAAAGACAAUGGAGACAUAGAAGACAAGACAAAAUAAAAGACAAAUUAAAAUUGUGUUUUGUACUGGUUUACAAGACAUGGUGAUUGUCUUUGUAUUAUGUUUGGUUGAUGAUAGACAAAACAUAAUAAAACAUGAAAAAAAUAUAUUUUACCCUUAAUAUGUAUUACUAUCAAAAUUGUGUUUGGUAGUGGUAUAGAAGAUACAACUAUUAUCUUUGUAACUUGUUUGGUUGAUAGUAGACAAAACAUAAAAAAAAUAUUUUACUCUUAAUACCAAGAUUGUCAAUCCCAUUCUGGUUGGCAUUUCAUUUUUUUCAUUAAGAAAAAAAAACAUGGAUUUUUCUCCAAAAAAAAACAAGAAAAAAAAACACUAUUUGGCAAAAAUAGAAUGGUCAGAACGAAACCAAAACAUUUUGGUUAGAAUUUGGCUGGAAUUUUUAGAACAGGCCGAGAUUAUGAGUGGGAUGAGAUUGUUUAUGUUUUUUGAACUGGAACGAGAUAUACUGACCACUCCAACCAUAACGGAAUUGACAACCUUACUUAAUACAUAUAAAAACUCAGAUUGGCUUGGGGGUUUAGCUUAUAUUGAGUGUUGAAAUUAUAAUAAUAUAAUAACCCUAGUUAUAAAACUCAGAUUGGCUUGGGGGUUGACCUGAGAUCUGGGACCCAACUAACCUGAGUUUAAGAAAAAAUAGAGAAAAGAUUGAUCUGAUCUGAUCCGAUAAAAACCGAGUUGAUCCGGAAUUAAACUUGGGUAAAAAACCCGUUGACUUUUUUAUUGUCAAAACAACUUGAUCCUUUAAAAAAAAAAUCUGAGUUAACACGAGUUAAUUCUAGUCAACUUGUUCACUCUUUAAAUCCCAUGACCCAGACUUUUAUCUCGGGUUGUUUCUUGGAUCAAGUUUUAAAACUAUGAUAAUAAUUGUUUUUAGCCUUAAAUGCAUUGGUUGGAUAAUUUUGGAAUUAAUUUUAUUUUUACAGAGAUUUAUUAGGGAUAAAAAAUAAUAAAUAUUGUAUCUGAAUACAUGUUUUCUCAGUAUCUCUUGUUUUGAAAAUAUAUAAAUUAAAUUCAACGUUUUAGAGAAUUUCUCUGUUUUUUAAUAUUUGCCGGUGCAUAACACAAAGUUUUUAGGUAGUAUUUAUUGCAGCUAGUUUAAUAGAGAGAGACGAGGAAUUUUGGAUUUGAGUUGGCUGCUUUCCCCCCCGCAUUUUAUCCCUCUUUUUUUUUCGCAUUUCUCCUUUCCUUUUCUUUUUCUUUUUCUUUUCAUUUUUUUCUAAUUUUAUUCCUUAAUAUUCGCUUGAUCUUCAUAAAUUAUUUUAGUUUGAUUUCUGCAAAAUUAUCCUAAUAUGAAAUAAAUAUUUUAACAUUUUAUUUAUGCUCGAUUUUACAAAUAUUUUUUUUUAUCGUUUAAUUAAGUAAUAAAUAGUUUUUUUAAAAAAAAAAGCAAAAUUCUUAAACCCAAUGAAGUCCAUCACCCGGAUUAUGGAUUUGGCCGGUUAAGUCACAAAGCUCGGGUCGAUCCAAUAUGUCACUGUCUCAAUAUUACAAAAAAAAAGAAGAUCAUCUUGAUUUUCUUUUAAAGCCAAAUUACAUCUUUUAUCUGUUGUCUGAGUUGCCUUUAGACUCCUAAAUUUUAAACAUGGACUAGGUAAGGAGUCGAGUUAGGAGGUUUCAAGGCUGACUUGUUGGGCUAAAUUUAAUGACAAUGUCAAAUAGUUCUUUUCGGCUUGAAUUUUUUUCACUUUAUUUUUAUUUAUUUAAGUUACAACAUAGCACUAUCUUGAAAACCAGUUCCUAUUAAUUUAAGUUUUUACUAUGCUCCGCUCUCUAUCAUAUUUUAUUGUGGCUUGGAGCAGUGAAUAUUUUAUUUUGAUCACUUAAAAUUAUCAUUGACACCGAUUCCGACCACCAAAAUAGUUGAUAUUGGUUUCAGUAAGUUUCAUUCGGCAAGGAGAAUUUCACUUAGGUGUCAACAAAUUAUCGCUGAAUUAUGAGCUCGAGAAGAUUUUUGUUUUAAGUUGAUUUUGACUUUUUUUGUGGUUUUUGUAAUAGUUUUUAAAUUUAUAUUUCAAUUAAUACCAUUCUAUAUAUUUUUUAUUUUGCUUAUUUAGCAUUUUUUAAAUAGUAGCUAUUUUUUUAAUUAUUUUAUAUAUAUAUUUAAUUUUUGAAAAGAUUAUUCUAAGUCAUUUAUAAUUUUUUUUGAUGUUUUAUAUAGAUGAACUUUAUUUUUAAAAAUAAAAAAUAUUUAUUUUUGGAUAACAUUUCUAAUACAUAAAGCAUUGCAUAAUAGUUUUUUCUCAUUUACUUUAUUCAAUCAAUUUUAUAUUUUUAUCUAUUUUUAUUAUCAUUUAAUGGAAUAAAAAAUAAAAUUUAAUAUACGAAUUCAUUAAAAACAAUUGGGUAAAUGAUCUGUGUUGCAAUAUCAAAUAUCUCGGUCUACUUUUAUCUCUCGGGUUUUCCAGUUUUUUUUUUAAUUAUUGAUGAUGAUUUUUUUUAUUUAUUUACACAGAUAAUUCUUAAUUUUUUCAAUUAGAUGCGUGUAUAAGGUUUUUAAUUUACAUUUGAGAUUUUUUAUAUAAAAAAAUUAUGUAAAAAAACCUACAUAUUUAAUUAUUAUUUUUUUGUGAAAAACAAAAUCCAACCAUAAACAACAAGUUAGACCUACCCCUACCUAUAAUCCAAAAACAAUUAGCAGCAAAAUAAUUUUAAAAUGGUAACCACCAAACUAACAAAGAGUAAAAUAAAAAAAAUAGCCUCAACCGCUGAAGGGGACAUCCUAUCAGCGUUUUCCAUGAUCAGGCCAUUAAAAAAAAAAAAAUAAGGGCAUGGGCUAGGACAGUGCCCUGUCUCAACUAAUUUAAACCAUGGACGUGAUAACCACUUUGAUCUGU
rnacentral:lncRNA from 1 species